GGCAGCGUCCCCUUGCUUGUUUAGGGAUUGAGUGAUGUAUGAUGUAUUUUUCGUUCAUGUCUUUUAUGGUUUGAUUGGAACUAUUUGUAACCUUGUUUUGUCUCAUUUGGCACUCCUUAUGCUAGGGAACAAAACUCUUGUUAAUAUAUCUCAUUUUGGCUUGUUAAAAAAAAAUAUAUAUAUAUAUUUUACUGUGUGAGACAAAAAAUCCUUCCACUUGUUUCCCUCGUUUUCAGCUUGUCAGAUUAAAAGUAACAUGAAAAUUAUUUUUGGUGCAAAACUUGAAAAGUAAAAUGAAAAUGAUCAUGGAGAAUCACGAAUUAUGUUAUGUGAUAUUCAAGUCUUCAUAAACUUUUCUGGAGUCCAACUGUCAUAUAGGCCACUAUGUAUAAAAUAGAUUCUAGGUUAUACUAUGGGUGUAAUAUCUUAUCAACUCUCCACCUAAAAUUAAUUAAAAAUAAAUCUGAAGUUUUGACUUUCGAAACUCAACAUGUUCAUGUCCUCUGUUAUAUUCCUGUCUCACAGAUUUAAUAAGAAAAAAUAUAAUAGCUAAGUUGAUAAUGCAUAAUAUGUGCAAGGUCAGUUUCGAAUUUCGGAUAAAAAAUAUAUAUUCAAAUUGACCGGAACACAUCACACAUGCAUAUUUGUGCUAUUCAUCCAAGGAAAAAAGAAAAAAAAAAACACACUGGUUGUAAUUUGUUUUAGGAUUUCUUCAUUGAAAUUUCUUUUACGUCCUAGCCAAUAGUUUAAGGUUUUUUCUUUUUUAUUACAUGAAUCAUAGUUCAGUCGAACAAUAGUUUAACCGAUAAAUACAUUUGCUUAUAUACUUUAUCAUAUUAUUAAAUCAUAACGAAAUAAUUUAGUUCUGUUAAAUUAAUUUUUUUGAAGGAUGUUCUGUUAACUUAAUAUUUUAUAUGAUUUUUUUUAAUAGAUUUUUUAUUAAUAGAAAAAUGACUUUAUACAAAUAUUUUAUCAGAUGUUUUUUCUUAAAUAUUUUAAGCUGAUUACAAAAUAAUAAUAGUUGCCAAACAACUUUAUCCUUAUUUAUAAAGCACUUUUUUUGUUUUGUUUUAAGCUUAAAGUUAGCUUUUAAAGUUGAAAAAAGUUAGGCCAAACCGUACCUAAGUAUUAUAUCCUUCACCUCUUCUUCCACUUCCACCUCUUUGCAUUAUUUGAGCCUUUAAACUUUCCAAGCCUGAGAGAAAAAUCCAUAGAAGGAUCCUGUCUUGUUCUGUGAAUUGAGAAAGAUAAACAGCACAAUCGAUUAUUUUGUCUCAUCACUUCACUGUUGUAACUGCAUUUUAAAAUGAUCCAUUUAGAAUAAAAAAAUCUUCGAAAUGAAUAUUACAAUUCUUUCAGACAAUGCAACUUGCAUUUUCAUUCCUCAACCACAAGUAAAACAAACACAAUCCAUAGAAAAGUAACCUACCUCUAAAAGUCAAUUCCAAACCAAAAACCAAAUGACUUCUGAUUACUAAGUAGCAGACUAAACUAAAAGUAGUAUGAUCAACAAGAUUUACACCAAGUACCAGUAACCAAAAGUAGCAUGAUCAAUGAAAUUUCUUCUAGGUGGCAACAGCCAAAGCUCAAUCUCUUCAUUCAAAUAUAUUAUUGACUAAAAUUAUCCUGGUCUCAAGACAAAGAAGCCAAGAAAAACUUCUCACUCAACGAAAGAGCUUUGAGAAUCGUUAUUUUGUUCAAAUUUUCAAUCCUUAGUGCAUAUGUCUACAAUGUCAUCCCAAUUUAGGAUGACCUUAAAUCGGAAUCACAUGGUUUCUUCAUGAAGCUUCAAAACAAAAGAAAACAGCAAUACUGAGCUGGUGUAUAACACAAUAGUCAUUUACUGAUAAAGCUAAACAAAGCACAAGUGAUGCUAAUGUUACCCACAAAUACGUAUACAAAGUCUGCGCUUACUCUAUCUCCAUUUACAUAACUAGUCAAGUGCAUUUCAUAAACAAGUUAGCAGAAGACAGAACAAAGCAUGAGUUUUACUUUGGCUGUACUUAGCAGUGGGAUUAACAAAUGAAAGUAGUUUAGGAAGCUGGUUGUUGAAGGCAUUAUAAAUUUAUAACAGGGGUAAAGUACAGUUCAUCAAAUUAAUAGUAAAAAUGGACAGAGAUUUUCAAACUCUCUUCUGCAUAGUACUCUUUCUAUCCUCAUAUUUCUUUCUUAUAACAGAGCAAUAAUGUAUAUUGUACCAAAAACAAAACCUAGUCCCUACCAUAUCAAAGUCAAGAGCUCUAAUGUUCAUCUAGUUCACAUUACUUGACAUACAUGUACAGUAAAAUCAUGCAUAGACAGAGUUUGAUAGGAAAAAUUUAAAUAUAGUACAAGCUUCUAUAAAGAAAAGCCAAAGUUACUCAUAAAUAUAUGCACAAUUAAAGAAAGUAACACCUUGGAGCUAACCCUUUAAGGGAGAGCCUGUGUGUAACAGUAAUAAUUGCUAUCAGAUCAUCUUUUAAAAAACCUUUCUUUACAACUCAUUUGCUAUCACGUGUUCAAAUGAGCUAACGGUGAAUGAGUGAAGGAUCAUCUAUUAGCUUGUUAACGGCUUUUUAAAAUCCAGAUUGACUACAAAAUUCAUUAUACAAAUCAAAACUAUUUUGCCAUUUAGACAUCUUCAAUUUCAAUAAUGUGAACGCCUCUAAACUCUGCUGUUCAAACUUGGUCACAGGAGCAUCAAACCGCAACGUAAUUGGGCAAAGAUCAUCAAACAUCUCUUCUCCGACAGAUUCAGUCUUCUCACCGGGCUCCUCACAGGACUUCUCCGAAACCUUAAAAAUAAAUGUAUCAUAAAUGGUAUCAGUAUGAACAGAGUUUCCCUGUACAUUGUCUAUUUGACGAUAUGUCGAAAAAGAUUUUGGUUUCAAAGAACCAUCCCAAUGUUCCGUUUUGUCAUCACCAAGGGAGAUUUCAUGAUCAUCAGGGUGACACGAACCAGCAAUCUCACAAGCGACCUGCAUAACUUCUUUGUAUUUGAGGUCAAGCUCUGCUUCUACUGAAAAUUCAUCACUUUCCGAACUUGAGUACCCAUAGCGAACUUCAUUAAUCACAAGUAAAACAGGGAAAGGAAUAACUGGACCCACAAUGUCAUUGUCGCUAUGGGGUGAUGGUUUCCUUAGAAAGAACGGAGGCAGCUGAGGAAGGUCUGGAACAGCUGAAAAUUCUAAAGGUACCAUAUUUUGGUUGUGUGCAAUGACUUCACGACAUUCAGAAUAACUCAAAAAUGCUAACUGUAAUAACUCUAAAGGCAAGUCAGUCCACAAUUUUCUCAAGGCAACCUCGUGGAAGCUUGCUGGUAGCGUGACAUCUUUAAAAAUAGAAGAAAUUGCAGGAGAUGAUCUUGAAUGGCCCAACCCACAAGCAUUUAAUUUUUUACACAAUAAUUCAUGAACUUCUGAACAAAAAGGUGCCUCCUCUUGAUCAUCAGAAUAGGUCUUUUCUAGUUUUGUAGUUAGGAUUUGACCAAGAUUACCAUUUGCAUAGGCAUAAAGGUAAUUCAAUUUUAAGUAACGAAAUUCUGAAGAUUUGUAUUUGUAUUCCUUAACACUCAAGGGACACAACAAGUGUGACUCCAAACAUAAAUCUGCUUCGUGGCAAUCUUCCAAGCUUCUAGCCAUAGCCUGGGAGGCGUGAUACCUCUGCAAUUCAAACUUUCCUGACGACAUUACCCUUACUAGAGUAAAACCACCAUGCUCAUCUGGUUCGCAGAGUAAGGAAGCAAGGUCAUUGCUUAAAAUGCCAAAUCCCAAAACCAUCUCUUUCUUCAGCUGCAAAUCAAUCCACUCGGGAAGUGCAUCCUUUGACAACUCUUCCCUGAACAAACAAUUUCCACAAUGACACCCACGACUUGAUAAAUUGAUCUCAGAUGGAAGCUCCCAAGCACAGAAUGUUGUGUUAAUCUUUGAAAGCGUUGAAGUAAUAGAACCUUUUCGAAAUGAUGCAGGUCCAUAGCAGAAGAUAUUGAACUCAGAAUUCCAAAAUGAUCCCAAGAUAAUGCAAAAUCCCAUUUCAGAAGCCAACUGAAAAGUAUCUUCUUUUGAGUGGGAUCUCAACGUAGACAAACUUAAUACAGUCAUGUAGCACGGUUCAUCAAUGCCGUGCCUCCAUUGCAAUACUGGCUUCAAAGGGUUCCUUAUAUCGCAUAGAACUAAAAGACUUCUAGAAGUCACAGUGAAGUAAAAGUUAUCAGGAGAUUCAGUACCAACCCUUGACAAGGCAAGAAACCGCUCGUUUUCAUCAGGAGCAUACAUCCGCAAUGUCUCAAUCUUCAAAAGGCAAGUCACAUUGCAUUCAUUUGAUCUAAAAUCAACUAAAAAUACAGCAUCGUAACGGGCAACAAUCAAAAUCCUUGGAUGCCAACUAAAUUCACAACUAAGCCAAGCCUUGUUUUCAGAACAAGCUGAAUCAUUCCAUGGUACUCUCAACCUAGUCCCUUUGAAAGUCUUCAUUGAACCUUGAGCAUCCACAUCAAACAAAAACAAUUGACCACUUUCUAACAAAACCAUACUCUCUUCCAAUAUAUGAGGACUCCAACAAGCACGCACAACAGCUUCCUUAAACACUUUACUUCUUCCCAAAUAAGACAUACUAGGACUAUCCGAACUCAAAUUAUGUUUGACAUCAAACCAACAAACAGAAUAACGUGAAGAAGCCAACACAUAUCCAAUAACAGGAGAAGAAUCGGGUUCACUGUCAUCCUCAGUAACUGGAUUCACUGACAUCCUCAAGAUACGGCUAGAAGAACCAGUAGAAGCUCGAAAGACAUCGCCUUUGACAUCAAGCCGAGUCUCCAACAGCGAGUCCUUAACACCCAACAUAAAAAAGCCAAUAGUUUCGUCAUUGGCACCGGUUGGGAAGAUAACAACAGCUUUUGGGGUAUUCGGGCAUUUAAGAAGUUGAAUGCGGUUGUGAAGGAAAUGAGAAACAUUGUCAUCAUCGAGUUCAGGAGUAGAAUCAAAUAGAUGGGCAAUAGUGGAAGCAGUGGAGGGGAGAAUGGAAGGGUCGGAGGUUAAAAGGUAGCGUUCGGUUAAGAGGUUGUGUGGAAGGUGAAGAGAGGGAAUUGUGGAAGAGAAAAUAGGGGUUGGUGAGUUAGAAUUAGGGUUAAAGAAGAGUGGACCAAGGGAAUCAGGAUCAGAGUGAAGAAGAAGAUUUGAUACAGUGGAUGCACCUAUUGGGAAUAGUGAUUUCCAUUCUUCUGAAAAUUCCAUUGCAAGUAAUAAUAAUGAUAGUUGAAAACAACACUGAUUCAAAUAAAUCUGCACAAAACAAAAUCAAUAGGAAAAACUAGUUAUUAGAAAACAACAACAUUUUGAUAAUUAAAAUAGCAGUAACGUUCUUAUCAGAAGAAAAAUUAGGAAAAUGUAAUGAAUCACAAGAACAACAAUAACAACAGGUACAGGGAAAGAAGAAAAAACAAGUAAGAAAUGGAAUUAAGUACAGGUAUUAUUGAAUGGUUAUGAAGUAGAAAACGAAAAAACCAUCCAUGAAUGAAUGAAUCUAUAUGAGCAAGCACAAUGUUAUCAGAAUUUAUUGAAUGUGAUAAGAAAGGAAAAAGGAAUGAAGGAAGGGGUUGAAAAACUUACAGUUGAUUUUCAAAAAUCUGAUACUGUUGGAAGAAGGUGAUGGUGAGAGGGAGACAGUGGCGUAGAUGAAUUGUCAGUUUGCCGGCGCGGUGGCGAGAUGGGGCGGGACUGGUUCGAUGGUGACGAGACGGCGGGAAGAGGGUUUAGUUUAGUUUAGGGCUUUGGGAAAGAAACUGAGAAUAAGAAAGAAGUGAGAGGAAAACAAAAGUAAAAAUCAUUUAGUCAAAAUCUAAUAUAAAUUUUAAAUAUUUUCUUAUAAAUAUUUAUCUCUUAAAAUACUAAACGCCAUUUUAGUAAAAAAAUAAUAAUAAUGUAAUUUUCACCUUUUAACUCUUCUGCAUUGCUAUUAACGGGAGGAGUAUUGCUGUUCCCACAUGUUGUUUGGCUGUGCCACACGAGUAAAAUACCAAAAUAUCCUUCGACAGUUUGCUAUUGAGGUUUUUAGGAAACUGGCGGCAGUUAACUGCCGAGGAAAACCUCGGUAGUUAACUGCCGAGGAAAUUUGAUUAUGCAGACAGCAGGUUCUGCAUAAUUCUAAGUAUUUCCAAGCCAUUUUUUCGGCCAGUUUUUACCUGUAAUUAAACCAGAGCAUUUCCAAAAGUAAUAUAAUUCAUAUGUAUGAUUGAAACUCGGACAUAAUGAAGAUAAAUACAAUAUCUUUUACAAUUGUUCAUAAUUAAAUUAAACCGACAUUUGGUUAAAAUUAAACAGACGUUUGAAAUUCAUCAAAACAUUACAAAGUGUCCAUAAUUAAACUACUCAUUACACAUCAUUAAAUUAAAUCCCUACUUACAUUCAAUGCAAUUACAUAUGGAACGAACAUACAUAUAUAAUAUAUUGUCUUCCACCAUAUUCCGAAACAUAAAUCCGACGUCGCCGUCGUCGCGAAUAAGCAAAGGCAUAUAGCUUGCCGUUUUCCAUGCGUAUUCAUCUCUAUCUUCUCCUAGGUCUAUGCAUGGCAUUUGACCAAACAAGUGACGUGUAUAUUGAUUUUCACCAAGAUGCUCAAAAUAAGUGUUAAGUUGUGCUUUCAAAUUGUCAAGAGAGUCCGUCGGCGUUAUCAUAACCUUAACCAUCUUUUUAAACGCGGAGUACCUAACCCGCCCUUCAAUUUGUGCAACCUCAGACAUGUCUCACUUGAAAAAUUUUGUAACAAAAGAAUCAUAUAUUAGAACAAAAUUAAAUGGAAUGUAAUAACGAAUAAAUGAAAUGCGGAAAACAUUAAAAAGCUAUAAAUUAGUAUUGCAUUAUUUUCUCCACAUAAAAAUCAUAUUAUCAUAUAAUAUAUAUAUAUCAAUAUAAAUUACAUAAUGUUAGUUAUAUAUUGGCCACCAAAAAAUUGGCGUUACAAUUUCGACCCAAAAAAAUACAUCGGUGUAAUUUCUACCAAAAAAAAAGAACUAACACCGACAAAAAAAUCACUCAUUAAAGACCAAGUGAUUGGAGAAGAUCAAGUGACAUAGAAUCUUCCUCAUCUUCCGCAAUAACUUCAAAUUGUUGCUUUGGUUUUUCGGGAGUGUCCAACAAAAUAGGCGCCGCUUUGUUUGACUCCUUUUGUGGUUUGCACGGUUUGUUUCCACUUUCAAUAGCCAUGAGCUUUCGGAACAAGUCAUGUCGAUCCAAAUACUCAUCUUCCCAAGUCACCGCAUCUUCUUUCUUGUGAUUGUGCCACUCCGUAGAUGAUGGAGGUAGUGGACAACCAUUCUUCAAGGAAAUAAGCACAAAAUGAUUUGGAAUUGCCCCAAGGCACAAGAUGGGAGUUUUUUGAUUACCCGGCGGUGGUGGCCCUCUUAGUGGGAAAAACGAUUCCGAUUUUCCAACUUCAAGAUUUGUCAACACAACCACACACAUUUUGUAAUAAUUAGCAACAAUGUGUCCCAUGUCCGGAAAUGUCAACCACUUAUCAACAAGAUGUGCACAAGUUUUUGUAUUUGCGGGAGGAUGUAAUCCGUUUAAAAUGUAGUUAUAACGAUCCUCACCCGCAAAUACUUCAACAUAAUCAUCUCUAUGAUCCAUAACUCUUGGAUAAGAUGUGUACGGAUCAUGAGAUGAUUUUUUUCGGUCAAGCCCAUGAACUCCGCUAUAGCCCGGAAUCCGCAAUGUCCAUCGCCGAUAACAUCCACCACUUUUUCAAUAAAUGGAAGCAUGAAGCGUGGCAUAUAAUCAAUAGGACGCAUAACCGGGAUAGCUUUAGGCUUUGGAUACCGAGUAGGUGGUGGAAGUGGGGAAAGUGAUGUUUUAUCAAGACGAGCACCUUUUUUCCUUUUAUAUGAUGAUGUAGUUGGUGAUGGUGACGGUUGGUUAUCCGGAUUUUGGGAAUCAACAACCUCCCAAGAAGAAGGGAUCCGACUAGUCGAUGUAAUUUUUCCUUUAGACCUCGCAAUGUCGACUUUUUUCUUUGCUCCCUUGGUUGGUACUUUUCGUGGUGGUGGAGACAUCAAGGUGGUUUCAGGAAAUGCCAAUUGCCGCAAACCCUCUUUGACCUCAAGCUUCAUUUGGAAAGGGAGUUUCUUUAGACGCUCUACAAUAGCCUUCAACUCAACCUCGACACAAAAAGCAUCUUCAUUACUUUGUUCACCCAUAGAUAACUGAAGCCAAUGGUGGUAUAUCUCAUCCAAUAAAAUUGGCUUCUCUUGAAGGAGUUUUGUAGCAAUUUCACAUGCACAUGGUAGUCCAUAAGAUGUCCUUUGAACACAACCACAAAUGUCAUUGUCCAUGCACAAUGUUUCCCUACAACGUUUUUCUUCCAAAGCAAUGUUGUCCAAAGCAUUUCUAGACACAUGACCACCUAACCCCGAGUACAAAGUGACAUCUUUGAAUCUAUGUUCCAACACGCAAACAUUUUGACCAAAGGAUGUUUGUAUAGCGGUCAACUGGAGCAACAACAUGUGAUGUAUUUUCUCCCAACAAGUACCCAAAUCACCCACACUAUUGUCAAAGUAUUUCUUCAACAAAGCAUGGGCCGAUUCGACCCUGUUUGUGGUCCUGCAACCAAGAUGCAACACAUGGUCUGUCCAUGCCCUCACAAUUUUGUCCUUCACUUCAUCCAAGGUGGUCAUGGCAUAAUCUACAAAAAUUGGGAAAUCACUACAUGAAUCUUUGAACUCCACUAAUGCAUUUGCAUAUAAUUGUUGAUUGGGAGAUUCAACCAUAGCUUUCCAUGCGUUCAUUAUCUUCUUCACCACAUCCCGAUUGCUCACCUCUUUCCCAUCCUUUUUAAAGCCCAAAGGAUAUUUACAAUUCAAGACACACCUUUGUUUAACAUUAGCUUGCACAUGAAAAAAACAAUUCAAUGCAUAACUUUCCGGAAAAACAUGUGCAACCACUUUCAUCAAAGACAUAUCCCUAUCGGUAAUAAUCACCUUAGGCAUAUUCAUCUUUGACGAAAGAAGUUUACGCAACAUUGUUAAAACCCAAACAAAGUUUUCUUCUUUCGCAUGUGUCAUAAAUCCAAACCCAACCGAAUAUGUCAAAUCGGUUGAAGUCACCCCAACUACCUCAAACAUUGGCAUCCUAUACAUGUUGGUCUUGUACGUGGAGUCCAUAACCAAAACCGUUGGAAAAUUGUUAAACAAUUUAAUGGAUGUUGGAUGAGCCCAAAAAAUAUCUUCAAUAGUAUUACUUUCAAGUUGUGUUCUUGAGUAAUAAGUAUAGUUGUGCUCCUCCAACUUCGAGAUUAGAAAUUGCAACGGCUUCUUGUCACCCCUAUUUGCCUUCCAUAUUUGUUGACUUUCAUUGUACACUUGCUUCACAUUUGUCAUGCAAUGUGGUCUCUGGUUCUUCAAGUGUAUCAAAAUAUUUCUUGGAAGCAUCUUGCUCUUGGUCAAGUCACGUACGAUCUUCUUGUCAUCCUCCUUUAAUCUACCGGCAAGAAUGUGUCCUUCUAAAGCCGGCUCCAUGGGAUGGUUGUGAACUCCAUUAAGAAUGUUCAAUCCCCAUUCCUUUGUUUGCUUACUUUGAUAUCCACUAAUCAUGAAUAAGCAACCGCAUUUUCUUGAGCCCGUGUUCGCAUGCUUCGGUUUUUUUUUCCGGAACUAUGUGACUUCCACUCCUUUCACACACUAGCCGGAACAUUGGAUUGAUCAAGCUUGAUCUUUGUGUGACAAUGGUAAAUCCCGCCUUAUUUGCUUGUCGGCGCACCCACUCAAGCAAUUCAUCUCUAUUUUUUGACUUAACGUCGUCUGAAAAAAACUUAGCCGUGUCGACCUCGUGGGGUUGAAGUGGGAGUACAUCGGAGCCGCCAACAUACUUUGAAGCUUCAACAUGGACGGAAGCUUCAUCUAUGUUUGUUUUCGCUUCAAAAUUAGGCGGUUUGACAUCUCCGGAAUUUUCGACAAAAUUUUCUUUUGUCUCUCCCGGAACAUCUUUCGCAUUCUUUACCAUUACUAUAAUUAAACAACACAUAAAUAUGAAUUAACAACUAAGUAAUGCAUAAACAUCAAUGCCAUAAUGAAUCAAAACAAAAAAACAAAAAAAAAAAAAAAGAAUUUUUUUUUUGAAAAUUUGGCAGUGGCUGCCAUUUUUUCGUGGUGAAAAUUUUCACCAAGAGUUCCUCGGUACCUAGCUACCGAGGUUUUCGUCGGCACUAAACAACCGAAGUUUUCCUCGGCAGUUAACUGCCGAGGAUUCCCAUGACAGGGUUCUACGUAACUGACGUAGAUACCCCUAAAACACCCAAAAAAUGACUCAAAUAAAACGCACAAUACCUGUUUUUUUACGUCAAUAGUGUGUUGAUACCUCCUAUGCUUGAUGCUUGAAUGAUUUUGGAUCAAAAAUUGAUUAUAGAAAAAAUGGAUUUUGGGAUUGAAAUGAGGUUGGAAAUGAAGGUGAUGAAAAAUAGUGUGUAGGGGGAGCAGGUAGCUGUUUCAUCGGAUGAAACAUUUCCCUCGGCAGUUAACUACCGAGGAAUUCCUCGGUAGUUAACUGCCGCCGGUUUCCUAAAAACCUCGGCAGUUAACUGCCGAGAGGGUAUUUGCGUAAAUUACUGGUGUGGCACAACCAUACUAUAUGUGGGAACAGCAAAACUCUAACGGGAGUGGUUAUGGUGCAUAAGGAAAUCCUUAUGCACCGUGCAUAAAUCCCAACAUAAUUGCUUCCUACACCCCAAAAGUGAGCCAAAACCAUUUUUGUUCAAAAUGAAAGAAAUUUGAUGAUUGUGAUGUGUUUAUGCACGGUGCAUAAGGAAAUGACUUAUGCACCAUAACUUUUGCCGCUAUUAACAAGUUGAGGCAUAAAUGAUACAAAGUACUAUUUAUACUUGAAAAUUACAUCCACAAUAAAAAUCUCUUAUUAAAUCACCCUAAUUUUUUAAAAUCAAAAGCUACAAAUUCUAGCUUCAAAUAUAAUCAAUUAUUAUGGAGAUAUAAUCAAUUCUACUCGAAACAAAUUAAACAUAUUAAGCUCAAUUCUAGACCCCAAAAUCAACUCUGACCGCUCUACAAGCGAAACAUCAAAAGAGUAUAGGUGUUUUGCAAAGCCACACACCCAAUUCGCAUAUUUAUCUCGAAGCAUCCCCACGGCAGCUAGCUGCACCAUUCUCACCAUGAGCUACACUAUCAGAAUGAACGCACCACCAUUCUCAUAAAAUUAGGUAUGCUAAUACGUUAACCAAACACUAGUAGGUCGAUCAAACCUCAAUCUCAAACCUAAUCAACGUUACAAAAACAUCUGCCAAACCUACAUCCUCAAUGACCGAAAGAUAAAUGUACGGUUAAAUGUCAAUAGAAAGAUUUUUUUUAUUUUUUUGAAAGGAUCAAUAUCAAUAGAAAUAUAGUUAAAUAAGUAUAAGUUGAUAGUUGUCGUCUAACAUGCAUAAACACUUAUUUUAUAAUAAUAGUAAUCAAUCUUAUAACAAGAAUUCACCUCUUAUUCACCCAUGAGCGUUGGAGUGCCUACAAAUACAAUAUCAUCUCUGUCAAGUGUCAACCAUUCUUAUCAUUUUUUUGCAACCAUUCUUAAAGAGUUUUCAUAUUUCUAAAAUUUUGUCUCAAACAACAGUAAACACUUCAACUUUAGUGGCAUAUGAUUAGAGAGAAGAGGGAACCGAAAGUAGACUAACUAAGGUAUAGAGAUGAAUAUACUAAGACAAAAAAAAACACUUCAACUUUAGUAACUUAACAAGUGUAUAUAAUAUAAUUUCAUGCUGUUUGAAUUUUAAAAUUAAACCAUUUCAAAUUAAUUAAAUCUUGUUAUGUAAAAUUAUAUUUAUAUAAUCAGAAAUAUAAGUUCUUUACGUUUUCCAAAACAAUCGAUAAAAUGCUUAACGAUCAAUAAACAAUAUUUGGGAACAUACAUAUCUCAUAUAUAAAAAUAAACAAAUCAUUUUGUAACUAUUUUAAAUAAAUAAAAUUCCGACUAACUACUUUACUACUAAGUAAUUGUAAGAAGAUACUGAUACACUAAAGGAAAAAUAUAACUUGUAAGCAAACAGCAAGACAUCUCCUCACAUAAAUUCUUUGCAUUAUAUUUUCCCACUCCACUGGGAAUAUGUGGGGGUCUCUAUCACAUUUUCAGUUUCAGAAAAACAGCAAAAUACAAGGUCAGUUAUUUACAAAAUUGUGGAGAGCUCAAACAUUGCAUCAAUCUUUGUACUUCUUCACCUUCCCAAAUAUCGGUCAAUCACAAGGUUUUGGCCAAAGGUGGUCACCAAGCUGAUUCCGGGAGCACAAUCUAUCACAUUACUCUGUUAACUCUUCUUGCAUCUAUCUAACCCAAAAAAACACAAACACCAGACAGCUAGUGAGUGGCGUGAAGUAGAGGUGAUGGUGGCUCGAGCUUUAUUUUUCACUACUGCAAUGUUUUGAAUUAAUUAUUCAAAGAACUGAACUUUGAUGAAGACGGCCAAAGCUAUUUGCAAGAAAAAUGCAGCAAUUAUGGCCACUGAAAGAUCAUUUCCUAUAAAAGACCUUAGGUUCAAAGAAACGAAGCUAGCUGAGGCACCACCGGUAAGGAUUAUUAUGAUCCACCGAAGAAUCUCAACUGGAAUAAGCAAUAGAAACUGAAAAAUUCACGAGAAACAAUUAUUAGAUAAAAACAUGAAAGGCAAUGCAUAAAUAAAUCAAAACUAGCAAGCCAAUACAUGCUUGUGCAAAAGGUAAUGUAAUAUAUAGUAAUUUGCAGCAUAUAGCGAUAAAACAACAAGCCAUACACAGAAAGCGGAAACUUACAGAAGACAAGAUGAAAAUGGUGAGGGAAUACCCCCACAAGCACCAAAACCGUACAAGGUUAGCAUUUGAACCCAUAUACUGAAGGAAAAAGUAGUAUGCCAACGGGACCACUAUCACAUAGCCAUAUAUAGACCAUGCCGCCGUAUUCACAUAGCUAACAUCAAAGCUCCAUGAUGUUCUGUUAUUUGUAUGUUUUUCCAUUAGGUAUGUUGCAAAAUUUCCAAGUAAGGCAAGUACAAAAACCAAUGUUGUUGAGAUCCAUAUAAGCCCAUACCUGUAAUAAUGGAAAAGUAUCAAGUAGAAAGUAAGGAAGUAAUACUUUCAUACUUUAUUACUACAGUCUUGGACUUUAUGUAGGAAAAAAGAAUACAAUAGUAGCUAUCUCAUUAGUUAGGACUGGUAAAGACAAUAUCAAACAAAAUUAAGAAUAAAAUAAAAUCAUGGAGGAUCAAAUCAAACUUUUGCCGAUUCUCUUGCAUAUCGCAUUACCAGAUAUAUUUAUAUAACAGGGACCAUUAUAGAGUCAUAGUAUAUAAUAAUUUGACCCACAAAUGGAAAAAAAUUAAGAAAAAACAAAUAUAACCUAGCUCCUCAGUAACUCUCUUUAGCUACUGACAAUUUUAAGGUAUGUACAUGAUUAAUAUUUUUGAAGAUUUGAAAUGCCAUUAAUUCCUUCAUUCCAAUAUGGCUGGAUCAAUAUAUUUAUGGAAUUAGUAGAAAUCAUCAUUUCAAUAUAUCUUCCUCCAUUAUAUGGCAAAGAAUUAAAAUGUAAUAAAACAAAUAUCAGAAAUUUAUACAUUUUGGGCAAGGAUGCUAAAAGAAUUUGUUAAAAAGUACAUCAUGUCUCCCAUUAAUUGGUAUAUUUAUAGUCCCCAGGCACCCUAAGUUUGCAUAAAACAACAGCUUAUAUUUGCGUUAUUCAGCAACCGCUGACUUUCAUUUUCUCAAAUUCCAAUUAGGGAAGUAAUAAUUUUGCAUGGGUCCACAAUGAACAAUGGACCAAACAGAAGGCAAGAAGAAAAAGGGGGUGGAAGUGGAAGAAGCAAAAGGAAAGUUUCACUUUUCCCCAUAAAUGUUAUUGUGACAGCGCAACUGCAGAUUUCCUUCAAGCACCGCAUACUCUACAUGAAAUCAAGAUCAGUUUUGCCAUUUUAGUUAUCAAAAAUGUAGCAGCAGAAAUAUAAAAUGCAGAACUCACAGAUCAGGGUUAGCAUCUAUCUUGGCAAAAAAGUCAUCACCGACUGGAUUCAAGGAGCUUAUCAAUCUGUUCACGACAACGUCUGUAUCCACGUUGAAAUACUGUGUGUACGAUGAGACACUAAAGAAUCCCUGCCAGUUAUUAGCUGGCUGUUGCCCAAAAGCAUCUGCAUGGAUGAAUAAGCCACGUAUCCGUGAUUGAUCAAUAUAGCAUAGAUUGGUAAUAAAAAUGUAAGAUUACAACUAUUCUCUAAUCAGUCUACAUAAUCAACCGUCAGUAUUAAUCAUCUAUCGGCCAAAGUAUGCAACUGAAAACAAGCUCAUUCAAAAUCCAAAAAACAAACUGCAUAAAAUGCUGCAACCAUAUGCAACUAUUAACUGAAUAAAGCCAUAACUAAACAUAUUAUGUGAAACACCUUAUUCAAUUGGUUUAGACUUUAGAUCGCUCGUUGUCUAAGAUAGGUAAAAGCCUAAAAUUAAACAAACAAAAAAGACUCUGCGUGCACAGUAGUGAUCACUUCUUAGCUUAUUAAAUCAAGGCUCUGCCCAAACAUCGACUACCAAAAUGUUUUGUUUUUUCUCCUCGCAAGUCAUAACCCACUCCCAAAAAAGGACAUACUAUACACCAAAGUUUCUAAAAUGGUAAGCCAUAAAUUAUAUAAAUGAAUUUCAACUUUCAUCAAGUAUUAUCAGCUAAUUAAGUUUGAUAACAUUACUUACCAGUUGGAGUUCCAAGAGUUUGAUAUCCCUGUUGUCCACCACCGCCUCCGCCUCCACUAUUGGGAGGGAAUGUUUGCAUAUUUGCAUAAGGGACUACAUGUUAAGUUCAUAAAUAUUAGAUUAGGUUAAUAAAUAUAUCAAUUAUCAAGUGUGGCAACUUAUUAAUCAUCUACUAAACUUUAUUAACCAUGAGUUAAACGCAAUAAACUUUGAUUUUUAAGUAUUCAAAUAUACAUGCAAUUGAAACACCUGAAAAGAAAAACAAUGAUGUAAUUUGAUACCUUGAUUGUUUGAAGCAUUCUUUUGAUCAACAAUGACAGCCUAAGUACCAAAAGAGGAAUAAUCAGAUAAUUAUAGAUAAUCAAUUAAUAAACUAAUAGAGAAUAUAUAUAUUGAAAAACCCAAAAAAAAAAAAAAAAAAGCUAUAAUUGCAAAUUGAUUGAUAUGAAUACUCACUGGAACUGAUCCGAGCAAAUGGCUGGUAUUGCUGCUACUGGUACGAGAAUCUUCCUCCAUAGAAACCAAAUAAUCGCUACGAGUAAUCAAAAAAAUUAGAAAUUGAAAUUCGUUAAUUGGAAAACAGUAGAAUCGCUAUAAACCCUUGACUUUUCAGGUUAGUUCAGCAGGUGAAACUGAAUAAACGAUGAUUUCAUUCAUAUUGGGCCCACGGGCCUCGUGAUGUCAGUUAUGAAGUACAAAAAAAGAAGAAAAAAAAAUGUCUGAGCCCGGGUUCGAACCGGGGACCUCUAGUGUGUGAGACUAGCGUGAUAACCGACUACACCACCCAGACAAGUUGAUGUCUAGUAAUUCAAUUAAACGAAUAUAUAUCAUUACAACAACGGAACAUUAAUCAUGUCAAAAAUGAAUUAUUUAUAUCCCUCAAAAAAUAAAAUAAUGAAUUAUUUAUAUUAUAAUAAGCGUUCCAACUGGUUUUUAUUUUUAACAUUAAUAAACUGAAUCAUUUAUUUCAAAGAAUUAUUAUUAUUUUUUUUUUUGGAGAAAUCAAAAUGUUAUAUAUAUAAUCAACAACGGGAAGCCCCAUGCAGAAGGAGUGCAAAGAACACCACCAAUCAAAGUUUACAGACACUAUAAGCCAAUAAAAACAACAGCAAAACAGACAAAAAUCAGUGGACACCCAUACAAGGUAGCGGAUGUCUCCACCAAUCAUUAAAACAAUAGUAAAAGGAUGUCUGUUUAGCUUUCAACCACAAAAAAGAGAGUAAUUGUACUUUCUCAAAAAGGACCAAAGGAGUAGUCAUCAUAUUUUUGAAAAUACGAUUAUUACGUUUCUUCCAAAUUACUCAGACACAAGCAAACCAUAUGACCUUAAAGAACACGUGAGUACCACGCGACAUCCCUGCCACGAAAGAAACCUGAAUGCAAUGAUCACGAAUCUGACAAGGAGCAACCAUUGUGAUCCCUAACCAAUUACAGACAAGAAUCCACAAAGAAGAUGCCAAAUCGCAAACAAUAAAGAGAUUAGUAGCUGAUUCAGCGACUCCACGCCCAUUGACACAAGGCAAACCAUUUACAUUAAUAAUAUUCCGUCGCAAUAAAUUGUCUUUAGUAGGCAACCGGUUACGCAAGAGACGUCACACGAACAGAGACACUUUCACAUGAAUAUUCCUAUGCCAGACAUCAUUUACAAGACUCCUAUCGACCUGUUCACUUGAAGUUGUGAGAAAGCGAUAGGAAUCCCGCACCGAAUACCCAUGCACAUGAUCUAGAAACCAUCUCCAAGAAUCAGUAACAUCAACCUGCAAAACAAUGUUAUGUAACACUUCGGAGCACUCCCUCACACUUUCCUCCUCCCAAGCUAACAAACGGUGUCUCCACUUCCACGCCCUUCCCUCCACCUCCCAACCUAAACGCUCCAUCUCCUCCACUGUACAAUCCUUAUCAAUAACUAAAUCAAAGAGCCUAGAAAAUUUAAAAUGCAAAGACAUUUCCCCAACCCAACGAUCGAACCAAAAUAAGGUUGCCUUGCCAUUACCUACUAUCCGGCGGACAUUGUUGUCAAACCAACUACCCACUCCCUCACCUACCCCCCCUCUAACUCGACAUAAAGAUCUCUACCACAUAGAAUCGUGCCUUCCCCCCUCCCUCAAUCGGCCCCCUACCUCUCCAUAACGGGCCUUCAAAACACGGUACCACAAGCCCUUCUUAACACGCCCCCCUAAAAAAUAUUUAAUUUGUAUACAAUCAAAUUGUAUGCUUCAAAUCGCACCGCGAUGUAACUUUGUUAGGUUGAUUUUUAAUAUAGUUUUGUAAAUAUUUACUUGGUGUAAUUUGAUUGGAAUAUAUGGUAAAAAAUAAUUAAUUGUUAGGACGUAGAAAUUAAUCUUUAAAGUGAAAUAGAAAAGUGUUUGAUCAAAUAAUAUGAAUAUAAUUUACUCUAGUAAAAUCAAAUAAAUUAAAGAAAUAAGAUAAUAAUUAUUUUUUUGAUAUAUGUAAGGAAAUAAAGAGCUUGUUAAUCGUCUAUGAGGUGAUGGUUCAUUGAUAGGAUCUUAUUAUUAUAAUUUUAAAGGAUGAAGUUUAAACACAUUUAGAGGAUUGAUGUAUAUUUUCUUCUUCUUCUUAGGUGUGGAACAAGGUUGAGAAGCAAACUUCCAACAAAGUGAUCUCUUCAAAAAUUGGCUAGAGGAAUAUGUAAUAUGAUCAUUAAUGUUAUUUUAAAUUAAUAAAAAAAAAAAUUCUCGUUCCCUUAUUUUCGAAAAAAGAAGUUCGUUUACGGUGUUGUAAUAAUUUAAAAUAAUUGAACAAUAUCCAAAAAUAUUUUUAACUUAAUUCUUUAUAGAAUUUCCAUGUGGUGGCAAGAUAUGAUGAGGUAGAAUGUUUGUGAAAGUUGCUGCUCUUUUUAUGUAUAAAGUGAAGUGAAGUUUAAGCAUCCUCUAUCAACCACUAUAAAAUUAUAGGUAAUGAAGUGCAAAAUGAAGAUCUCUCAACCGGUUCUCUGCAUCUCAUUUUCACUAAUUUUGAUAGAACUAAUCUAUAAAAUUUUUAACACUUUUUUCAAUGUAAUACUAUACUUCUAAAAAUAAGGUUGAAUUAAACCAGGGUCGUUUAAGUUUGUGGUUUGUAAUAAAUUGAUCCUUUAAGUGUGACCAAAAGGACUUAUGUGUGACCAAAAUAACUUAAAAGGACCAAUCUCUUACAAAUCUCAAACAUAAAGGACUUAUGUGUGACCAAAAUAACUUAAACACUAAUCUAUUACAAACCUCAAACUUAACCUCAUACUUAAAGGACUCAUAGUGUAAUUUAACCUUAAAAUAAAUAUGUUUGGAGUUAAAAACAUUUUUAAUAAUCCAAUGAUUAUGAAUUAAAUCCAAUUGUUUUUACAUUUUAGUUAACUUUAUAACAGCGUAUUUACUGUCUUUUUUCGUAGAGUACAACCCAAGUUUGUCUACAAAAAAAUAGCAGUCCAAGAGGACCAUUCAAUCAAUUUAGAAAGCCAGAUUCGUAGUAUAAGAUUACAUGCAAGUGCAGCAACUUAAUCUCCUCCCUUACAAUCCACCCUUUUCGCUUUCAACUAGAGUGAAAUUAAGAUCGAACCAACGACAAACCUUAUCCAACUAAGAUUGAAAGACCCCACAAAGAAAAUUACCAAGCUGAUGCUGAUGUAAACCAAUGAAUCCAUCAAAUGUCCAUAACCAAAAAUGUUCUUGCGUUGAUAACAUUCUAUUAGCAGUUUCCAAACCACACUCAAUGAGCUGCGAACACAGAUACCAGGUUUGAUAUCAUCGAGAAUAAUAAUAGGACUUCAUUGCUUAGAAAUCCGAAAAUAAAAAAAUCUUUCAAUUUGGUCCAGAGGAUCACUUUUUUACCAAUUUCAACACAUCACCAAUAAGAUGUAUGGAACCAGUUACAAGGACCUGAUGCAUCAACAGAACAAAUUUUGCAGUCAGAUCAUAUAUACAUACAUAUGAAAGAAAGCAUGGAAUAUAAGGCAGCUAAUCUUUAUCGUCCAUAUAAAACUUGGACGGUCAAGAUUAUCUUCUCUCAUUCGAUAUGUUCCUUCUUAAAAAUAUAUAACUCAGCCCUUCAAAUAUAAGGUAUCAAUAAUUAACAUAACUCUGUCUUGUCAAAUAUUCACAACCUUCAGUCCAAAUAUGUAACUACUAUUUAAUUUUACCUGAAAGCGAGUUGACUGGUUUUGUUGCACUCUGUCCCUAAGCCAAUUGAUAACCAGUGGCAAUGAGGAAAACACUGCACUGUGUUCACAAUUGCUGACACUCAUUUCCAUACCAGCUAAUUCUUCAGAAGCUGCACUAUUAUUCUUGCCUGCUAGCCACAUGAUGCUAAACAGGUUAAGGUCUUGGUAUUUCUCAUGAACUAGAAAGUAAAAAAAAAAAUGAAGAAAGACGGGAAAAACAUCUCAAAUAAUCAAGUUUGUGGAUUAGAAUUCUUUAUAAUUUGCAUGUGAUCAAACAAUACCUUUGUUCCCUUGCAUGAGAUUUUCCCAUACUCUUUGUAGAGUGAACUGCCAUGACAGGUCAAUGUUAGAAUCACUUGGUGUUAAAGCAUGGGAUCCAAUCUUGUGGUACAUUGAUAAACCAGGCACAAAUAGCGCCUUCUUGAAGUACACACCUGCAGUUUCAGUACUCUUAAAUCAGAAAAAAAAAAUCUCAAAUAUAAAAAGCAUCCAGCAUUACAUUUCACCCUGAUAGACCCAAACUAUCACUAAAUUAAGACUUGUUUGGAUGGACUUAUUUGAGUUUAUCACUUUAUCUAUUAACAUAAAACAUACGUACAUGUGUGACUGUUUGGGAGACCUUCUGGAACAACUUAUAACAUGUCCACAAGUAUUCCCAUAAGUUCUCCAAGAUAGCUUUUGAAAACAACUUAUAGCCUAUACAAAAACAAUUUAACUUUAUUUUAUCUUUUGCUAUAGAAAUAGCUUAUGUAAGCUUAUGCAUAAAUGCUUAUCAUGAUAAGCCCUUGUGCUAUAAGCUGCAAAUAAGCUGUUUAUCCAAACAUGACCUUAAUCGAGGACAAAGUCACUUAUUUGACAAGUAUUUAUUAGUCAAUGAAUAUUCUGAACCAUUAUGUAAGCCAUUACAAAGUAACUACGUAGUAGGAAAUUCCAGAGAUUACUCGCCAUGAUCAGCACAAGUUUUCAUCAAGUGAGGAAGAAGUAACUGAGGAUCGCGUACAGACAUACAAUUGAACAGCAAAAUCUGCAAAAAAAUAAAAAUAAAAGAAAUCAAUGACUUCAAUCAAAUCAUUGAUGAAAAAGGACCACGAUUCAUACAUUUAGCAUUUCUAUCCUAUCCCACCAUUUUUUUUCCCAUUCUGUACAUGAGUCAUAUGAAUCACUUCAAGAGCUUAUAGUUAUGAACUUAUGAUCCAAUUACAUUCAACAAAGCAUUUUUUUUUUCCUACAACCAACACAAUUUCAUUAUUCUUAUUUUAUUUACUUCACUAGUAACAUUCUUUUCUGUCCAUGCAAUACAUUCAACAGAAUUUAUACAUCAGAGGCAACCAAAAUAAACAAUUUUGUGGACAUUCAUCAUGACCACUGAUUUCUCGGAAAAACAUUGAUAACAGCUUAUUUACCUACCUGUGCAGAUUUUUGUGUUUCACUUUGGUGCGUCUUCACCACUUUAUUUGAGAACCUGGAAUUAUCAGCUAUCUGAUGAAACAAGGUCUGGUUCUGGUCUUUGAUUGCAAGAGAAAACCACUUUGCACAUGCUUCCAUGCUUUCAGGACUAUGAGCCCCAUCUAAAAAGAAGACAAGUUCAUUUGAGAUUUUGUUGUUGACAUGUUCGUCACGAACAAUCUGAGCUCUUCCUUGCAGACUUGCAGUUGUUAAACCGUUUAUGAACUGCUCUGGCAAAGUGUGUUGCUUCAAGCAGGCAAAUAAAUCAACUCAGCAGGCAUGACAAUAACAAUACAUAAACACAAAAGGAACGGCGGUUAAGAAACUGCUUUUAACAUCUGGAACUUACAAUCUGUUUCAAAUGAGACUCUUCAAGAUGGCCAUUUAUAUUCAUCCAUGUAGAGCAUAAUGCAACAGCAAGACCAGCAUUAACAUAUUGGUGCUCACCUUCAAGCCCUAAUUUUAAACCAUUUAGUAAUUUGGCAUCUAACGGGGAUGUCACUUGAAGAGGUACCUACAGUUAGAUAGAUAUGCUCAGCUGAUUGAAUAAGAAAACCAGAGAUUAAAGUUGAUUUUGCCUCAAAAACCAAUUCUAACUUAAAGCUGGGAUUUAGAGCUUUUGUUUCUACAAGUGACUUUUAACCUUUAAAUUAUUGUUCAAUUCACUUUUACAUGAAUAUAUCCAAACAUAAAUAAACUUUACAUUCAACUCACAUUUAGCCAAAAUCAAUUUUACAAAAUCAAUUCAUUCAAAAUCAAUUCAUUCAACUUCAACACACACUAAACCUAUUCCAACUAGGGAAGACAAGAAAGAUCUGAAUUUGAUGUUGUGAAUCUAUUAACUUUCAAAGGAUCCUUGGAAAAUGUAAAAGUACAGAGAAUGAAGCCACAACUUAAUUAAAUGUAGCACGAGUAUGUAUGGCCCAGCAUGUUGAAUCUAGUAGAAGGAAUUAUUUUCUUUCAAAGUCAACACAAAUCCAACUAAUGUGGUUCUCACGAUAUAUCAUCAUUUUGGCAGAAUAAAUAGAUAUACAAACAGGAUCAUAGGACAAAUCAUUGGUCAAGACAAUUAAAUAAUGUACAUAUCUUCAGAUAGUUAAUAGUUCAACAGUGAAAUUUUCUUCCAAAUUUUGAUCUGGUGUAAUAUGAUUACAUAAAUGAAUCUAAACCGAUGAUCAUACUUUUACAUUUUUAUCAGCACAUGCACUGAAUUGUACUAUCUUAUCUGACUUUGAAGCAGAAGUAAGCACGUGAAACAAUGUACUUACGUUCAACUGAGAAGCCUUCUCUUUAAGUACAUCCAUUGCUUCAUCAGGUUGAGUAACUGUAAAUGCUGGAAUUCGAUGCUACAUAAAGUCAAAAUAUAUAAAAUAAAUAUAAGGAAUGAAAAGAAAUUUCUAGAAAAAUGAUAAAGGAUAAAAAAAAAAAGCACAGGGUGAUACAAGGAAAGACAGGAAAGUGUAAAAGAUAGAUAUAAUCACAGCUGGGUUGCACAUGAAAUGGCAAUUCCCAAUACACACUUUGGAGCUUUUCCGGUAUCUUUUUAAAAAGGGAAAACCUCUUACUCUAAAGAUGCCACAGUGGUGGGUUCUAGGGAAGGGUCUGACCUAUUAUAGCUCCAGUGUAAGCAACAUUACUAUACAUUUGCAGGAGAUUGAUAUCACAACUCUAACGAACUUGGAUUGCCUGCAGUCACAACACACUCUUGCAGUCAGUACAUUGGUUGCUGUUGGAUUGAGAUUGGACAGUCCAAAUUUCAAGCUCGGUAUUUUAGACUUUAAAAAAAUUAAAAUAUGUUUGCUUUCACACUGCCUGAUCUCGAUCCAACAACCACCGAUGUGUUGACUGUGAAAUUGUGACUGCAGGCAAUCCAAAUCCAACUCAAACUCCUGAAAUCCAAAUCAGCAGAAACUUCAACCAAUACACCAUGACUCCUCUUAUUUUCUUCUACUUAUAAAGUUAAAUAAUAAAGAAAGAAAAUAACGAGUGUGACUUCUAUAUCGGUUGGGUGUUGGAUGUGAGACACAGAACUCUGGUUCAAAGUGGAGGCCAUCCCCUCUUAACAACCUAGCUUUUACCUGACAACUUGGUGCUAUAAUGCAUUAACGCACCCUCUAUGACAGGGUCCAAUGAAGGGUUCAAACGAUUAGGAUAUUAUUUUACUCAAAAUAUUACCUUUAAGAUUCCCGCCUUCUCACCAGCAAUUUCUCCAAGAGUAUUCCCUGUUAAUAAAGUCAAACAGACAGAGGUAAGCCCAAAUGGUUGAACAAAUCAGAGAGUGUGCAACAUGAAUAAUAGGACAAUGAAAUUUAACAUAGAUUGUACAUUUAAUCAGGUUACAAAAAAAGUUUAAUCAUUCACCUACGUAACUAUCCAAGAUUUAUAAGGUACAUAUAUCUCCAUGUACUGAAAAAUGAGAUCACAUUCACAGUUUUUUUUUUUAUUAAUUCUUAUACUUGUUGUAUUGGCAACACACGUUGUGCCAAAUAUGAAUUCCUUUUAUUUUAAAUUUCAAGUUAUUUCACAAUUUUCACGAGCAAUAGGUGUGCUGUAAAUUAUCAACUACCGGAAUUACAAAAAGAGAGUUGGCGGGAGUGGGAGAGCACUAACCAAGAAUUUCCAUGUGGUCAUACCCAAGAGAAGUUAUACCACACACAAUAGGUUUCUGCACCUGAAAUAUAAAACAUCUGCAUGAGCAUGCUCUAAUUUAAGUUCGUAAAAAAAUAUGUAUUCAAGUAAAGUAAUCUUAUGAUGGUAGUUAAAGGCCAACACAUUUAUGGUGAAAUGGCAAUUAUGUAUACCACAUUUGUUGCAUCGUAUUUGCCACCUAACCCAACCUCCAUUAUGCAAACAUCCACCUGUAUAGAAUUUAAAGUAAAAUAAAAAGAAAUAUGAUCAGUAUGAAAACAAGUUUGCAUAGGAAUUUAAAGCACAGGGAUCAAACCUGCUCUUCUGAAAAUAUCUUGAAGGCGAGUAAAGCAAGGAAGUGGAAAAAGGUAGGCAUUGGAACUUUGUCAUCGGUUUUUUCCUGUGCAUCACCAAGCUAAUAUAAGAUACCACUUAUAGAAAAGCACAUCAAACCACAAGUCCUUUUUUAUAAUUCUGUAACUACCACUUCAAAGAGAUCGCUAUGAUUAUGAUGAUUAGCCAUGCAUGGAUUUAAGAUGGUAUUACUUUUUUUUUUUAAUGGAAAGAUGGUAUUACUGCUAUGCAACACAGAAAUUGUUACUGUUACAUAAGUUCAUUGUGCUAGAACAACCAUGGUGAAAAUUAACACCAUUUUGUUUACUGUUCCAGAUGACACUCAGUUUUACAAAUAUUAACACUAACUGCUAAACCUUAGUAUUUUCUAUAUCAAUUAUCUUCUGAAAUCGAUUUAAGUAAUAACUCAAAAAGGAAGAAAAAUGAAAUAGCCGCUAGUCACUCUUUAAUGUUACUGCUAAACUAGUUUAUGGACCUGUAAAGAUUCGGUGGAAGAAAGUUACCACCAGUUCAAAUAAGGAAUGAAAUUUGGUUCAAAUUCAAAUAAACAAAAAGGGGGGAAAACAAUAACCAAGUUUUAAAACAAGGCAAAACUUCUGCCAGUAAAAAAUUGAAUGAUGCAUUUAUUCACGAAAUAUACCUUUAGUCUAUCAUAACACCACCAGAAAUAUGCUAAAAAUUUCUCUUCACAGAUUUCCACACUGCAGAAUUAACAAGAGUAGUUCUAAUGAAUCAUAGCAUAAUAGCCAUGCUGCAAAAGAUGAACUAAAAGGCAGCAUAUGAUGUAUUUUAGUAGGUUGAUGAGACUUGGUAAAACAUAGAAGGACAAGAAUGACGAUAUAAGAGUGAAAAUGAUUCAAUGAUUGAGGUUUUAUUUAUAUGGUGAGAGAGCUUCAAAGCCUCUAUUACAUUCUGUUACAACAGCAUAAGUGAAUGUGCUUACUCAAUAACUAUAAUAUCAGUUGCCAUUUUAACUGCACAGCUAAGAAUACACAUAACCUACUACUGCUAUUGACACACUGCAAGGUAUUUCUUUUUAAGUCAAAGUAUCAUAUUGCAAGCCCACAAUUGUUAAUCUGUACAAAUUUGGGUCUAGUGCAAAAUCAGCUCCAUGUUUUCUCAAUUUGUAAUUCCUGAUAAUGGGAGUGAAAAGCUCGUGGAUACAGUCAUGUGAUCUCAAUUGAGAAGGUCUUAAAUAUAUUCAGAUAAGAAGAGAAAGAUAGCACCACUGGGUAGGUGUUCAAAGUCAACUGCAAGAAAAUAAGCCAGAGCUCCGAACCUUUUAAGUGCAAACUUAGAAUCCAGCGUACUGAUGAGUGAAAUAACGAGGGAAGAGGACCUCGUGAUGAUAAUGUCAUCAAUGUACGUUAGAUCAUAUAUGCAGGUACUUCCCUUUGAAUAAAUAAAGAGAAAGGGGUCACGUCUACUCGAGGAGAGGUCAAAUCAACAUCGAUCAUGAUGAAACAGAGGACUUGUGUGAAGCCUAAGAAAGUGAAGAAGAAACUUUCAAACAUAUACAGGACGCCUCUAAACCAGUAAAUUGGCAAUGCUUCCCUAACCCAGCUUCUUGAGCCAGAAGUGCUUCUAUCUCAGUGACAGAAUAGGAUCCACUAUAUCAUGAAUCAUGGUGACCAAAAGGGUGAUAGUCUUCAUGGAGACCUUCAAGAGUGUCAUUGAGAUUAUGGAAUCAACAAUAGCUUUGAUGCGAAAUAAGAGUUCUGAAAUUGUGCAACCUCCUUACUUCGUGCUGCACAACUCGGAUGGAAGGUGUUGCUUUCAACUCAAUUCUACGCUUGUUCCUUCUCCAUAUGAGAUUACUUCAGUGGCUAUAUGACAUUCUGUUGCAACGGCAUAUCUGGAUGUGCAGACUCAGCAACUGUAAUAACAGUUGUUAUAACUACUAAUUGUACAGCUAUGCACACAAUCAAGCUACUAUACAAGUUAUUGCUCUAAAUAGCUGCUAAUAUGAAAGAUUAAUUUUGUUACAAACCAUUAUUAAUGGAUUAAUCAGAAUUCAUAAUCAAUUAUAUGACCGAAAGCAAAGUAAAUGACAGAUGGAGAUUAUAAAAAAAUAUAAUAGUGGUGCGUCAAAGAAGAUGAAUGAAUUCAAUAUGCAAAAUAACACAAGUUGAAUACUUAAUAAAGUCAAUAAAUACAUUUGAGACACUCACCCAUCUAAACGAAAUCUUUCUCGUAUAUCAAUUAGAUGAGGAGAAGUGAAAAGGCCAGUGCGAAAACCACAGUUGCGUAAUAUAGAUUCUGUGAAGGUGCAUGUAGAUCCCUACAUAAGCAAGGUGUAAAAACAAAAUAUACAUUAUUAGUCAUUACAGAUGCAAGAGUAAAAAUACAAACUGAAAACAAAGGCACUGUAUAAGAGACCAGAAACUACCAACAAACCAACCACAUCAAUUAUUACAAAAAGUUUGUUUUCCUCUCAUUGAAUAGUAUGAAACACAAAUUCAUAAGAUACAUUAUAUUAAUUUUCAAAAGUAUUAAUUUUAACUACUACAUUCAUGGACUUUCAAAAUGGUUUCACUUUUUCGGAAGCAAUGAUCUGAAGAAGUUUAAUGAAAUUACAUAAAGUUAACUUCAAAAGCAAUAAUUUUAAAGUCCUAGCAAAUCAAACCACAAUAUUCAAACAUGGUUUAACUUUCAAAGCAAUCAUAGGUCAAAGUUUAAUUAAUAAAAGUACCUUCCCUUUGGUACCAGCAACAUGGAUAAUCUUCAAAUUCGAAAUCGCCUCUUCCAAUUCAAGCAUCUAUCAAAUCAACACUACAACAUUGUUAACAUCACCAAACAAGUAGACAAUUUUCCCAACAAAGUGAUCAAAUAAUCGAAAGCAUGUUCAUUUAAGUGUCCCAUUUGCAUUCAACAACUAAUUCAUUUUCAUAGAAGCCAAUCCACAAACACUUUACGUACCUUUAAGUACUCGAAUAACACGAGGAAUCGUUCCUCCAUAUUGACAUCACCAACACGAGUGCGUUUAGUAAUCAAAGAUGACAAGGCUUCCAAUGCUUCUUCAUAUGGCGAUGAUUUUGGAGACCCAUUAUCUCCUUCUGUAAAUCAAAGUCAAAAAGAAAAUGACCCAAUAAGCCAAUCAGCAUAAAAAUUUAAACUUGAGCUGAAGCAGAACGCAUAAAGGUUAAAAGAUUAGAAGAAGCGAGAUUUGAAAUUGAAUACCUUGAGCCAUGUAUAAUUUGGAUUGAAGUGUGAAAGAGAGAGAUUGGGUAUUGGUAGAAAGGAUAAGAGAAUUGUUAUAGCGAGGAAAGGGGAUUGAGAAUGAAGGAUUGGAAGAUAGAAAGAGUGGUGUUUGAGGAAUGAGGGAAUGGUUGCGGAGCAUUACAAUGACAUUCUCAUUUGUCUUUAAGCGCGCAGUUUCUAUGAGUCACCUAACGUUUGAUCUUGAUCAACGGUUGUUGGAUUGUCACUUCCUUGAGAAGAAAUAGUUUAUUUUCAUUUUCAGAUCAAAAUCAAAUUAAAACAAUUAGUUUAUUGGUUUGGAUUCAUUUACUCUUAAAAAUUGAACUAAACCGAUCUAUUAUUAUACUCCUAAUUUAAGAAUUUAAUGAAAAUGCAUUAUCUUAUAUCAUCCAUGUAAAUUAGUUUACACUUUACACUUAUAUUCAUCAUAUCACCUCAUAAAUUCCCUUUGUUAGAGACUUUUUAAAAUAACUUCCACAUAAUUGCACCCAAACUCUAUACGUACCUGCAAAAAAUACCCGCUAUGGAUAGAAUAAAAUACCACUUUCAUGGAUCCAGAUUUGGAUAUGUGUAAUUACCCGCAAAAUUAUAUGGGUAUGAGCGCGGGUAUAAGUGCUGUACUACCCAGCACUGCAACCCGCAUAUAUGUAUUUAUAUAAUAUUAUAAAUAAUUUAUUAAUUUUUUGUGUACAAUUAAUUAAUAAAUUUAACUAUUUAAGCCUAACCUUAAACCUAAAUCAGAUUAAUAAAAACUUUAGUAACAAUUUAUUAUGAUUUUAACAUGCAACUACAACUUUUUAACGUAUAACUGAUGUAAGGUAUUUAUUUUUUUUCUUUUCAGGAAUAAUUUGGAUGUUUUUUUAUUUGGUUAAAUAUUACGAUUCAUAUUAUUUCGUAAGUUGAUUUAAAAAAAUUUGGAUCAUAGUUUUAUUUCAAGUGUGGUGAUUUUUAUUAUCUUUUCAUAAAUUGCGGAUAAUGGGUGCAGGUAUGAACACUUAAGUGUCCAUAGAAUAUGGGAAAGGACAUUAAAGUUAUUGUCCACGAAAAUACGGAUACGGGUAUGAACAUUUUUUACAAACGUGAGUAUGGAGAUGAAUAACUCAUUGGGUAGCCAUUGCCACUGCACAUACUUGAUUUUCAUUGGAAACCAAUUAAAGCUAAUUUGCAUGUGCCUUUUCUCUUUCUUAAAUUUGCAUAGUUUGAAGUAUUUAGUCCUCGUCGUCGAUAAUUAAAGGUGAAAGUAAUAAGGAAAAUAUUUUUUUUUACAUCUAAAACCAAUUGACAAAUAAAAUGUGUGAUGUGAUAAAUGUGACAUGUUAGUAGUUGUGUAAUUUAUUUCAAAUAACACAACUACUUCAAAUAAAUGUAUUAAAUUAACAACUUAAAACCUAUUUAAAAUUUAAAAAAAUGUUAAAGAACUUAUUUAAAACUUAAAAUAGGACUAAUCUAGUAAAAGAAAGUAUUCAGCCUAUAUUAAAUAAAGUGAGGGGGUGUUUGACCCGUUUCUUGACGCAUAGGACAAAGCAUUAUGUUUAUCAUGUACUACCAAAAUAAUCUUAAAAAAAAUAAAAUAAAAUCAUGACCAUCCAUGAUGCAUACAUGUCAAGUUCAGAGUACAAAAAAGAACACAGGUACGUAUUGGCUUACGUCAAGAUGACAAAGAACUAGUACUAGUCAGUUAAUAGUAGCCAUUGCCACUGCCAACCAAGUGCGGGUAUAAAAGCCACACGCGUGUGUAAAGUACUAAAAGCACGUACAAUUUUCUUCCUACAUCCAAUUUUCUUUAAAGAAGAAAGAGAUUUUUGAUUCAGCAACAUGGGUUGGAGAGGAUUAUUGGGUUUUGAAUAUGGCAUAAUUGUUCAAAGAAACGAAGCUAGCUGAGGCACCACCGGUAAGGAUUAUUAUGAUCCACCGAAGAAUCUCAACUGGAAUAAGCAAUAGAAACUGAAAAAUUCACGAGAAACAAUUAUUAGAUAAAAACAUGAAAGGCAAUGCAUAAAUAAAUCAAAACUAGCAAGCCAAUACAUGCUUGUGCAAAAGGUAAUGUAAUAUAUAGUAAUUUGCAGCAUAUAGCGAUAAAACAACAAGCCAUACACAGAAAGCGGAAACUUACAGAAGACAAGAUGAAAAUGGUGAGGGAAUACCCCCACAAGCACCAAAACCGUACAAGGUUAGCAUUUGAACCCAUAUACUGAAGGAAAAAGUAGUAUGCCAACGGGACCACUAUCACAUAGCCAUAUAUAGACCAUGCCGCCGUAUUCACAUAGCUAACAUCAAAGCUCCAUGAUGUUCUGUUAUUUGUAUGUUUUUCCAUUAGGUAUGUUGCAAAAUUUCCAAGUAAGGCAAGUACAAAAACCAAUGUUGUUGAGAUCCAUAUAAGCCCAUACCUGUAAUAAUGGAAAAGUAUCAAGUAGAAAGUAAGGAAGUAAUACUUUCAUACUUUAUUACUACAGUCUUGGACUUUAUGUAGGAAAAAAGAAUACAAUAGUAGCUAUCUCAUUAGUUAGGACUGGUAAAGACAAUAUCAAACAAAAUUAAGAAUAAAAUAAAAUCAUGGAGGAUCAAAUCAAACUUUUGCCGAUUCUCUUGCAUAUCGCAUUACCAGAUAUAUUUAUAUAACAGGGACCAUUAUAGAGUCAUAGUAUAUAAUAAUUUGACCCACAAAUGGAAAAAAAUUAAGAAAAAACAAAUAUAACCUAGCUCCUCAGUAACUCUCUUUAGCUACUGACAAUUUUAAGGUAUGUACAUGAUUAAUAUUUUUGAAGAUUUGAAAUGCCAUUAAUUCCUUCAUUCCAAUAUGGCUGGAUCAAUAUAUUUAUGGAAUUAGUAGAAAUCAUCAUUUCAAUAUAUCUUCCUCCAUUAUAUGGCAAAGAAUUAAAAUGUAAUAAAACAAAUAUCAGAAAUUUAUACAUUUUGGGCAAGGAUGCUAAAAGAAUUUGUUAAAAAGUACAUCAUGUCUCCCAUUAAUUGGUAUAUUUAUAGUCCCCAGGCACCCUAAGUUUGCAUAAAACAACAGCUUAUAUUUGCGUUAUUCAGCAACCGCUGACUUUCAUUUUCUCAAAUUCCAAUUAGGGAAGUAAUAAUUUUGCAUGGGUCCACAAUGAACAAUGGACCAAACAGAAGGCAAGAAGAAAAAGGGGGUGGAAGUGGAAGAAGCAAAAGGAAAGUUUCACUUUUCCCCAUAAAUGUUAUUGUGACAGCGCAACUGCAGAUUUCCUUCAAGCACCGCAUACUCUACAUGAAAUCAAGAUCAGUUUUGCCAUUUUAGUUAUCAAAAAUGUAGCAGCAGAAAUAUAAAAUGCAGAACUCACAGAUCAGGGUUAGCAUCUAUCUUGGCAAAAAAGUCAUCACCGACUGGAUUCAAGGAGCUUAUCAAUCUGUUCACGACAACGUCUGUAUCCACGUUGAAAUACUGUGUGUACGAUGAGACACUAAAGAAUCCCUGCCAGUUAUUAGCUGGCUGUUGCCCAAAAGCAUCUGCAUGGAUGAAUAAGCCACGUAUCCGUGAUUGAUCAAUAUAGCAUAGAUUGGUAAUAAAAAUGUAAGAUUACAACUAUUCUCUAAUCAGUCUACAUAAUCAACCGUCAGUAUUAAUCAUCUAUCGGCCAAAGUAUGCAACUGAAAACAAGCUCAUUCAAAAUCCAAAAAACAAACUGCAUAAAAUGCUGCAACCAUAUGCAACUAUUAACUGAAUAAAGCCAUAACUAAACAUAUUAUGUGAAACACCUUAUUCAAUUGGUUUAGACUUUAGAUCGCUCGUUGUCUAAGAUAGGUAAAAGCCUAAAAUUAAACAAACAAAAAAGACUCUGCGUGCACAGUAGUGAUCACUUCUUAGCUUAUUAAAUCAAGGCUCUGCCCAAACAUCGACUACCAAAAUGUUUUGUUUUUUCUCCUCGCAAGUCAUAACCCACUCCCAAAAAAGGACAUACUAUACACCAAAGUUUCUAAAAUGGUAAGCCAUAAAUUAUAUAAAUGAAUUUCAACUUUCAUCAAGUAUUAUCAGCUAAUUAAGUUUGAUAACAUUACUUACCAGUUGGAGUUCCAAGAGUUUGAUAUCCCUGUUGUCCACCACCGCCUCCGCCUCCACUAUUGGGAGGGAAUGUUUGCAUAUUUGCAUAAGGGACUACAUGUUAAGUUCAUAAAUAUUAGAUUAGGUUAAUAAAUAUAUCAAUUAUCAAGUGUGGCAACUUAUUAAUCAUCUACUAAACUUUAUUAACCAUGAGUUAAACGCAAUAAACUUUGAUUUUUAAGUAUUCAAAUAUACAUGCAAUUGAAACACCUGAAAAGAAAAACAAUGAUGUAAUUUGAUACCUUGAUUGUUUGAAGCAUUCUUUUGAUCAACAAUGACAGCCUAAGUACCAAAAGAGGAAUAAUCAGAUAAUUAUAGAUAAUCAAUUAAUAAACUAAUAGAGAAUAUAUAUAUUGAAAAACCCAAAAAAAAAAAAAAAAAAGCUAUAAUUGCAAAUUGAUUGAUAUGAAUACUCACUGGAACUGAUCCGAGCAAAUGGCUGGUAUUGCUGCUACUGGUACGAGAAUCUUCCUCCAUAGAAACCAAAUAAUCGCUACGAGUAAUCAAAAAAAUUAGAAAUUGAAAUUCGUUAAUUGGAAAACAGUAGAAUCGCUAUAAACCCUUGACUUUUCAGGUUAGUUCAGCAGGUGAAACUGAAUAAACGAUGAUUUCAUUCAUAUUGGGCCCACGGGCCUCGUGAUGUCAGUUAUGAAGUACAAAAAAAGAAGAAAAAAAAAUGUCUGAGCCCGGGUUCGAACCGGGGACCUCUAGUGUGUGAGACUAGCGUGAUAACCGACUACACCACCCAGACAAGUUGAUGUCUAGUAAUUCAAUUAAACGAAUAUAUAUCAUUACAACAACGGAACAUUAAUCAUGUCAAAAAUGAAUUAUUUAUAUCCCUCAAAAAAUAAAAUAAUGAAUUAUUUAUAUUAUAAUAAGCGUUCCAACUGGUUUUUAUUUUUAACAUUAAUAAACUGAAUCAUUUAUUUCAAAGAAUUAUUAUUAUUUUUUUUUUUGGAGAAAUCAAAAUGUUAUAUAUAUAAUCAACAACGGGAAGCCCCAUGCAGAAGGAGUGCAAAGAACACCACCAAUCAAAGUUUACAGACACUAUAAGCCAAUAAAAACAACAGCAAAACAGACAAAAAUCAGUGGACACCCAUACAAGGUAGCGGAUGUCUCCACCAAUCAUUAAAACAAUAGUAAAAGGAUGUCUGUUUAGCUUUCAACCACAAAAAAGAGAGUAAUUGUACUUUCUCAAAAAGGACCAAAGGAGUAGUCAUCAUAUUUUUGAAAAUACGAUUAUUACGUUUCUUCCAAAUUACUCAGACACAAGCAAACCAUAUGACCUUAAAGAACACGUGAGUACCACGCGACAUCCCUGCCACGAAAGAAACCUGAAUGCAAUGAUCACGAAUCUGACAAGGAGCAACCAUUGUGAUCCCUAACCAAUUACAGACAAGAAUCCACAAAGAAGAUGCCAAAUCGCAAACAAUAAAGAGAUUAGUAGCUGAUUCAGCGACUCCACGCCCAUUGACACAAGGCAAACCAUUUACAUUAAUAAUAUUCCGUCGCAAUAAAUUGUCUUUAGUAGGCAACCGGUUACGCAAGAGACGUCACACGAACAGAGACACUUUCACAUGAAUAUUCCUAUGCCAGACAUCAUUUACAAGACUCCUAUCGACCUGUUCACUUGAAGUUGUGAGAAAGCGAUAGGAAUCCCGCACCGAAUACCCAUGCACAUGAUCUAGAAACCAUCUCCAAGAAUCAGUAACAUCAACCUGCAAAACAAUGUUAUGUAACACUUCGGAGCACUCCCUCACACUUUCCUCCUCCCAAGCUAACAAACGGUGUCUCCACUUCCACGCCCUUCCCUCCACCUCCCAACCUAAACGCUCCAUCUCCUCCACUGUACAAUCCUUAUCAAUAACUAAAUCAAAGAGCCUAGAAAAUUUAAAAUGCAAAGACAUUUCCCCAACCCAACGAUCGAACCAAAAUAAGGUUGCCUUGCCAUUACCUACUAUCCGGCGGACAUUGUUGUCAAACCAACUACCCACUCCCUCACCUACCCCCCCUCUAACUCGACAUAAAGAUCUCUACCACAUAGAAUCGUGCCUUCCCCCCUCCCUCAAUCGGCCCCCUACCUCUCCAUAACGGGCCUUCAAAACACGGUACCACAAGCCCUUCUUAACACGCCCCCCUAAAAAAUAUUUAAUUUGUAUACAAUCAAAUUGUAUGCUUCAAAUCGCACCGCGAUGUAACUUUGUUAGGUUGAUUUUUAAUAUAGUUUUGUAAAUAUUUACUUGGUGUAAUUUGAUUGGAAUAUAUGGUAAAAAAUAAUUAAUUGUUAGGACGUAGAAAUUAAUCUUUAAAGUGAAAUAGAAAAGUGUUUGAUCAAAUAAUAUGAAUAUAAUUUACUCUAGUAAAAUCAAAUAAAUUAAAGAAAUAAGAUAAUAAUUAUUUUUUUGAUAUAUGUAAGGAAAUAAAGAGCUUGUUAAUCGUCUAUGAGGUGAUGGUUCAUUGAUAGGAUCUUAUUAUUAUAAUUUUAAAGGAUGAAGUUUAAACACAUUUAGAGGAUUGAUGUAUAUUUUCUUCUUCUUCUUAGGUGUGGAACAAGGUUGAGAAGCAAACUUCCAACAAAGUGAUCUCUUCAAAAAUUGGCUAGAGGAAUAUGUAAUAUGAUCAUUAAUGUUAUUUUAAAUUAAUAAAAAAAAAAAUUCUCGUUCCCUUAUUUUCGAAAAAAGAAGUUCGUUUACGGUGUUGUAAUAAUUUAAAAUAAUUGAACAAUAUCCAAAAAUAUUUUUAACUUAAUUCUUUAUAGAAUUUCCAUGUGGUGGCAAGAUAUGAUGAGGUAGAAUGUUUGUGAAAGUUGCUGCUCUUUUUAUGUAUAAAGUGAAGUGAAGUUUAAGCAUCCUCUAUCAACCACUAUAAAAUUAUAGGUAAUGAAGUGCAAAAUGAAGAUCUCUCAACCGGUUCUCUGCAUCUCAUUUUCACUAAUUUUGAUAGAACUAAUCUAUAAAAUUUUUAACACUUUUUUCAAUGUAAUACUAUACUUCUAAAAAUAAGGUUGAAUUAAACCAGGGUCGUUUAAGUUUGUGGUUUGUAAUAAAUUGAUCCUUUAAGUGUGACCAAAAGGACUUAUGUGUGACCAAAAUAACUUAAAAGGACCAAUCUCUUACAAAUCUCAAACAUAAAGGACUUAUGUGUGACCAAAAUAACUUAAACACUAAUCUAUUACAAACCUCAAACUUAACCUCAUACUUAAAGGACUCAUAGUGUAAUUUAACCUUAAAAUAAAUAUGUUUGGAGUUAAAAACAUUUUUAAUAAUCCAAUGAUUAUGAAUUAAAUCCAAUUGUUUUUACAUUUUAGUUAACUUUAUAACAGCGUAUUUACUGUCUUUUUUCGUAGAGUACAACCCAAGUUUGUCUACAAAAAAAUAGCAGUCCAAGAGGACCAUUCAAUCAAUUUAGAAAGCCAGAUUCGUAGUAUAAGAUUACAUGCAAGUGCAGCAACUUAAUCUCCUCCCUUACAAUCCACCCUUUUCGCUUUCAACUAGAGUGAAAUUAAGAUCGAACCAACGACAAACCUUAUCCAACUAAGAUUGAAAGACCCCACAAAGAAAAUUACCAAGCUGAUGCUGAUGUAAACCAAUGAAUCCAUCAAAUGUCCAUAACCAAAAAUGUUCUUGCGUUGAUAACAUUCUAUUAGCAGUUUCCAAACCACACUCAAUGAGCUGCGAACACAGAUACCAGGUUUGAUAUCAUCGAGAAUAAUAAUAGGACUUCAUUGCUUAGAAAUCCGAAAAUAAAAAAAUCUUUCAAUUUGGUCCAGAGGAUCACUUUUUUACCAAUUUCAACACAUCACCAAUAAGAUGUAUGGAACCAGUUACAAGGACCUGAUGCAUCAACAGAACAAAUUUUGCAGUCAGAUCAUAUAUACAUACAUAUGAAAGAAAGCAUGGAAUAUAAGGCAGCUAAUCUUUAUCGUCCAUAUAAAACUUGGACGGUCAAGAUUAUCUUCUCUCAUUCGAUAUGUUCCUUCUUAAAAAUAUAUAACUCAGCCCUUCAAAUAUAAGGUAUCAAUAAUUAACAUAACUCUGUCUUGUCAAAUAUUCACAACCUUCAGUCCAAAUAUGUAACUACUAUUUAAUUUUACCUGAAAGCGAGUUGACUGGUUUUGUUGCACUCUGUCCCUAAGCCAAUUGAUAACCAGUGGCAAUGAGGAAAACACUGCACUGUGUUCACAAUUGCUGACACUCAUUUCCAUACCAGCUAAUUCUUCAGAAGCUGCACUAUUAUUCUUGCCUGCUAGCCACAUGAUGCUAAACAGGUUAAGGUCUUGGUAUUUCUCAUGAACUAGAAAGUAAAAAAAAAAAUGAAGAAAGACGGGAAAAACAUCUCAAAUAAUCAAGUUUGUGGAUUAGAAUUCUUUAUAAUUUGCAUGUGAUCAAACAAUACCUUUGUUCCCUUGCAUGAGAUUUUCCCAUACUCUUUGUAGAGUGAACUGCCAUGACAGGUCAAUGUUAGAAUCACUUGGUGUUAAAGCAUGGGAUCCAAUCUUGUGGUACAUUGAUAAACCAGGCACAAAUAGCGCCUUCUUGAAGUACACACCUGCAGUUUCAGUACUCUUAAAUCAGAAAAAAAAAAUCUCAAAUAUAAAAAGCAUCCAGCAUUACAUUUCACCCUGAUAGACCCAAACUAUCACUAAAUUAAGACUUGUUUGGAUGGACUUAUUUGAGUUUAUCACUUUAUCUAUUAACAUAAAACAUACGUACAUGUGUGACUGUUUGGGAGACCUUCUGGAACAACUUAUAACAUGUCCACAAGUAUUCCCAUAAGUUCUCCAAGAUAGCUUUUGAAAACAACUUAUAGCCUAUACAAAAACAAUUUAACUUUAUUUUAUCUUUUGCUAUAGAAAUAGCUUAUGUAAGCUUAUGCAUAAAUGCUUAUCAUGAUAAGCCCUUGUGCUAUAAGCUGCAAAUAAGCUGUUUAUCCAAACAUGACCUUAAUCGAGGACAAAGUCACUUAUUUGACAAGUAUUUAUUAGUCAAUGAAUAUUCUGAACCAUUAUGUAAGCCAUUACAAAGUAACUACGUAGUAGGAAAUUCCAGAGAUUACUCGCCAUGAUCAGCACAAGUUUUCAUCAAGUGAGGAAGAAGUAACUGAGGAUCGCGUACAGACAUACAAUUGAACAGCAAAAUCUGCAAAAAAAUAAAAAUAAAAGAAAUCAAUGACUUCAAUCAAAUCAUUGAUGAAAAAGGACCACGAUUCAUACAUUUAGCAUUUCUAUCCUAUCCCACCAUUUUUUUUCCCAUUCUGUACAUGAGUCAUAUGAAUCACUUCAAGAGCUUAUAGUUAUGAACUUAUGAUCCAAUUACAUUCAACAAAGCAUUUUUUUUUUCCUACAACCAACACAAUUUCAUUAUUCUUAUUUUAUUUACUUCACUAGUAACAUUCUUUUCUGUCCAUGCAAUACAUUCAACAGAAUUUAUACAUCAGAGGCAACCAAAAUAAACAAUUUUGUGGACAUUCAUCAUGACCACUGAUUUCUCGGAAAAACAUUGAUAACAGCUUAUUUACCUACCUGUGCAGAUUUUUGUGUUUCACUUUGGUGCGUCUUCACCACUUUAUUUGAGAACCUGGAAUUAUCAGCUAUCUGAUGAAACAAGGUCUGGUUCUGGUCUUUGAUUGCAAGAGAAAACCACUUUGCACAUGCUUCCAUGCUUUCAGGACUAUGAGCCCCAUCUAAAAAGAAGACAAGUUCAUUUGAGAUUUUGUUGUUGACAUGUUCGUCACGAACAAUCUGAGCUCUUCCUUGCAGACUUGCAGUUGUUAAACCGUUUAUGAACUGCUCUGGCAAAGUGUGUUGCUUCAAGCAGGCAAAUAAAUCAACUCAGCAGGCAUGACAAUAACAAUACAUAAACACAAAAGGAACGGCGGUUAAGAAACUGCUUUUAACAUCUGGAACUUACAAUCUGUUUCAAAUGAGACUCUUCAAGAUGGCCAUUUAUAUUCAUCCAUGUAGAGCAUAAUGCAACAGCAAGACCAGCAUUAACAUAUUGGUGCUCACCUUCAAGCCCUAAUUUUAAACCAUUUAGUAAUUUGGCAUCUAACGGGGAUGUCACUUGAAGAGGUACCUACAGUUAGAUAGAUAUGCUCAGCUGAUUGAAUAAGAAAACCAGAGAUUAAAGUUGAUUUUGCCUCAAAAACCAAUUCUAACUUAAAGCUGGGAUUUAGAGCUUUUGUUUCUACAAGUGACUUUUAACCUUUAAAUUAUUGUUCAAUUCACUUUUACAUGAAUAUAUCCAAACAUAAAUAAACUUUACAUUCAACUCACAUUUAGCCAAAAUCAAUUUUACAAAAUCAAUUCAUUCAAAAUCAAUUCAUUCAACUUCAACACACACUAAACCUAUUCCAACUAGGGAAGACAAGAAAGAUCUGAAUUUGAUGUUGUGAAUCUAUUAACUUUCAAAGGAUCCUUGGAAAAUGUAAAAGUACAGAGAAUGAAGCCACAACUUAAUUAAAUGUAGCACGAGUAUGUAUGGCCCAGCAUGUUGAAUCUAGUAGAAGGAAUUAUUUUCUUUCAAAGUCAACACAAAUCCAACUAAUGUGGUUCUCACGAUAUAUCAUCAUUUUGGCAGAAUAAAUAGAUAUACAAACAGGAUCAUAGGACAAAUCAUUGGUCAAGACAAUUAAAUAAUGUACAUAUCUUCAGAUAGUUAAUAGUUCAACAGUGAAAUUUUCUUCCAAAUUUUGAUCUGGUGUAAUAUGAUUACAUAAAUGAAUCUAAACCGAUGAUCAUACUUUUACAUUUUUAUCAGCACAUGCACUGAAUUGUACUAUCUUAUCUGACUUUGAAGCAGAAGUAAGCACGUGAAACAAUGUACUUACGUUCAACUGAGAAGCCUUCUCUUUAAGUACAUCCAUUGCUUCAUCAGGUUGAGUAACUGUAAAUGCUGGAAUUCGAUGCUACAUAAAGUCAAAAUAUAUAAAAUAAAUAUAAGGAAUGAAAAGAAAUUUCUAGAAAAAUGAUAAAGGAUAAAAAAAAAAAGCACAGGGUGAUACAAGGAAAGACAGGAAAGUGUAAAAGAUAGAUAUAAUCACAGCUGGGUUGCACAUGAAAUGGCAAUUCCCAAUACACACUUUGGAGCUUUUCCGGUAUCUUUUUAAAAAGGGAAAACCUCUUACUCUAAAGAUGCCACAGUGGUGGGUUCUAGGGAAGGGUCUGACCUAUUAUAGCUCCAGUGUAAGCAACAUUACUAUACAUUUGCAGGAGAUUGAUAUCACAACUCUAACGAACUUGGAUUGCCUGCAGUCACAACACACUCUUGCAGUCAGUACAUUGGUUGCUGUUGGAUUGAGAUUGGACAGUCCAAAUUUCAAGCUCGGUAUUUUAGACUUUAAAAAAAUUAAAAUAUGUUUGCUUUCACACUGCCUGAUCUCGAUCCAACAACCACCGAUGUGUUGACUGUGAAAUUGUGACUGCAGGCAAUCCAAAUCCAACUCAAACUCCUGAAAUCCAAAUCAGCAGAAACUUCAACCAAUACACCAUGACUCCUCUUAUUUUCUUCUACUUAUAAAGUUAAAUAAUAAAGAAAGAAAAUAACGAGUGUGACUUCUAUAUCGGUUGGGUGUUGGAUGUGAGACACAGAACUCUGGUUCAAAGUGGAGGCCAUCCCCUCUUAACAACCUAGCUUUUACCUGACAACUUGGUGCUAUAAUGCAUUAACGCACCCUCUAUGACAGGGUCCAAUGAAGGGUUCAAACGAUUAGGAUAUUAUUUUACUCAAAAUAUUACCUUUAAGAUUCCCGCCUUCUCACCAGCAAUUUCUCCAAGAGUAUUCCCUGUUAAUAAAGUCAAACAGACAGAGGUAAGCCCAAAUGGUUGAACAAAUCAGAGAGUGUGCAACAUGAAUAAUAGGACAAUGAAAUUUAACAUAGAUUGUACAUUUAAUCAGGUUACAAAAAAAGUUUAAUCAUUCACCUACGUAACUAUCCAAGAUUUAUAAGGUACAUAUAUCUCCAUGUACUGAAAAAUGAGAUCACAUUCACAGUUUUUUUUUUUAUUAAUUCUUAUACUUGUUGUAUUGGCAACACACGUUGUGCCAAAUAUGAAUUCCUUUUAUUUUAAAUUUCAAGUUAUUUCACAAUUUUCACGAGCAAUAGGUGUGCUGUAAAUUAUCAACUACCGGAAUUACAAAAAGAGAGUUGGCGGGAGUGGGAGAGCACUAACCAAGAAUUUCCAUGUGGUCAUACCCAAGAGAAGUUAUACCACACACAAUAGGUUUCUGCACCUGAAAUAUAAAACAUCUGCAUGAGCAUGCUCUAAUUUAAGUUCGUAAAAAAAUAUGUAUUCAAGUAAAGUAAUCUUAUGAUGGUAGUUAAAGGCCAACACAUUUAUGGUGAAAUGGCAAUUAUGUAUACCACAUUUGUUGCAUCGUAUUUGCCACCUAACCCAACCUCCAUUAUGCAAACAUCCACCUGUAUAGAAUUUAAAGUAAAAUAAAAAGAAAUAUGAUCAGUAUGAAAACAAGUUUGCAUAGGAAUUUAAAGCACAGGGAUCAAACCUGCUCUUCUGAAAAUAUCUUGAAGGCGAGUAAAGCAAGGAAGUGGAAAAAGGUAGGCAUUGGAACUUUGUCAUCGGUUUUUUCCUGUGCAUCACCAAGCUAAUAUAAGAUACCACUUAUAGAAAAGCACAUCAAACCACAAGUCCUUUUUUAUAAUUCUGUAACUACCACUUCAAAGAGAUCGCUAUGAUUAUGAUGAUUAGCCAUGCAUGGAUUUAAGAUGGUAUUACUUUUUUUUUUUAAUGGAAAGAUGGUAUUACUGCUAUGCAACACAGAAAUUGUUACUGUUACAUAAGUUCAUUGUGCUAGAACAACCAUGGUGAAAAUUAACACCAUUUUGUUUACUGUUCCAGAUGACACUCAGUUUUACAAAUAUUAACACUAACUGCUAAACCUUAGUAUUUUCUAUAUCAAUUAUCUUCUGAAAUCGAUUUAAGUAAUAACUCAAAAAGGAAGAAAAAUGAAAUAGCCGCUAGUCACUCUUUAAUGUUACUGCUAAACUAGUUUAUGGACCUGUAAAGAUUCGGUGGAAGAAAGUUACCACCAGUUCAAAUAAGGAAUGAAAUUUGGUUCAAAUUCAAAUAAACAAAAAGGGGGGAAAACAAUAACCAAGUUUUAAAACAAGGCAAAACUUCUGCCAGUAAAAAAUUGAAUGAUGCAUUUAUUCACGAAAUAUACCUUUAGUCUAUCAUAACACCACCAGAAAUAUGCUAAAAAUUUCUCUUCACAGAUUUCCACACUGCAGAAUUAACAAGAGUAGUUCUAAUGAAUCAUAGCAUAAUAGCCAUGCUGCAAAAGAUGAACUAAAAGGCAGCAUAUGAUGUAUUUUAGUAGGUUGAUGAGACUUGGUAAAACAUAGAAGGACAAGAAUGACGAUAUAAGAGUGAAAAUGAUUCAAUGAUUGAGGUUUUAUUUAUAUGGUGAGAGAGCUUCAAAGCCUCUAUUACAUUCUGUUACAACAGCAUAAGUGAAUGUGCUUACUCAAUAACUAUAAUAUCAGUUGCCAUUUUAACUGCACAGCUAAGAAUACACAUAACCUACUACUGCUAUUGACACACUGCAAGGUAUUUCUUUUUAAGUCAAAGUAUCAUAUUGCAAGCCCACAAUUGUUAAUCUGUACAAAUUUGGGUCUAGUGCAAAAUCAGCUCCAUGUUUUCUCAAUUUGUAAUUCCUGAUAAUGGGAGUGAAAAGCUCGUGGAUACAGUCAUGUGAUCUCAAUUGAGAAGGUCUUAAAUAUAUUCAGAUAAGAAGAGAAAGAUAGCACCACUGGGUAGGUGUUCAAAGUCAACUGCAAGAAAAUAAGCCAGAGCUCCGAACCUUUUAAGUGCAAACUUAGAAUCCAGCGUACUGAUGAGUGAAAUAACGAGGGAAGAGGACCUCGUGAUGAUAAUGUCAUCAAUGUACGUUAGAUCAUAUAUGCAGGUACUUCCCUUUGAAUAAAUAAAGAGAAAGGGGUCACGUCUACUCGAGGAGAGGUCAAAUCAACAUCGAUCAUGAUGAAACAGAGGACUUGUGUGAAGCCUAAGAAAGUGAAGAAGAAACUUUCAAACAUAUACAGGACGCCUCUAAACCAGUAAAUUGGCAAUGCUUCCCUAACCCAGCUUCUUGAGCCAGAAGUGCUUCUAUCUCAGUGACAGAAUAGGAUCCACUAUAUCAUGAAUCAUGGUGACCAAAAGGGUGAUAGUCUUCAUGGAGACCUUCAAGAGUGUCAUUGAGAUUAUGGAAUCAACAAUAGCUUUGAUGCGAAAUAAGAGUUCUGAAAUUGUGCAACCUCCUUACUUCGUGCUGCACAACUCGGAUGGAAGGUGUUGCUUUCAACUCAAUUCUACGCUUGUUCCUUCUCCAUAUGAGAUUACUUCAGUGGCUAUAUGACAUUCUGUUGCAACGGCAUAUCUGGAUGUGCAGACUCAGCAACUGUAAUAACAGUUGUUAUAACUACUAAUUGUACAGCUAUGCACACAAUCAAGCUACUAUACAAGUUAUUGCUCUAAAUAGCUGCUAAUAUGAAAGAUUAAUUUUGUUACAAACCAUUAUUAAUGGAUUAAUCAGAAUUCAUAAUCAAUUAUAUGACCGAAAGCAAAGUAAAUGACAGAUGGAGAUUAUAAAAAAAUAUAAUAGUGGUGCGUCAAAGAAGAUGAAUGAAUUCAAUAUGCAAAAUAACACAAGUUGAAUACUUAAUAAAGUCAAUAAAUACAUUUGAGACACUCACCCAUCUAAACGAAAUCUUUCUCGUAUAUCAAUUAGAUGAGGAGAAGUGAAAAGGCCAGUGCGAAAACCACAGUUGCGUAAUAUAGAUUCUGUGAAGGUGCAUGUAGAUCCCUACAUAAGCAAGGUGUAAAAACAAAAUAUACAUUAUUAGUCAUUACAGAUGCAAGAGUAAAAAUACAAACUGAAAACAAAGGCACUGUAUAAGAGACCAGAAACUACCAACAAACCAACCACAUCAAUUAUUACAAAAAGUUUGUUUUCCUCUCAUUGAAUAGUAUGAAACACAAAUUCAUAAGAUACAUUAUAUUAAUUUUCAAAAGUAUUAAUUUUAACUACUACAUUCAUGGACUUUCAAAAUGGUUUCACUUUUUCGGAAGCAAUGAUCUGAAGAAGUUUAAUGAAAUUACAUAAAGUUAACUUCAAAAGCAAUAAUUUUAAAGUCCUAGCAAAUCAAACCACAAUAUUCAAACAUGGUUUAACUUUCAAAGCAAUCAUAGGUCAAAGUUUAAUUAAUAAAAGUACCUUCCCUUUGGUACCAGCAACAUGGAUAAUCUUCAAAUUCGAAAUCGCCUCUUCCAAUUCAAGCAUCUAUCAAAUCAACACUACAACAUUGUUAACAUCACCAAACAAGUAGACAAUUUUCCCAACAAAGUGAUCAAAUAAUCGAAAGCAUGUUCAUUUAAGUGUCCCAUUUGCAUUCAACAACUAAUUCAUUUUCAUAGAAGCCAAUCCACAAACACUUUACGUACCUUUAAGUACUCGAAUAACACGAGGAAUCGUUCCUCCAUAUUGACAUCACCAACACGAGUGCGUUUAGUAAUCAAAGAUGACAAGGCUUCCAAUGCUUCUUCAUAUGGCGAUGAUUUUGGAGACCCAUUAUCUCCUUCUGUAAAUCAAAGUCAAAAAGAAAAUGACCCAAUAAGCCAAUCAGCAUAAAAAUUUAAACUUGAGCUGAAGCAGAACGCAUAAAGGUUAAAAGAUUAGAAGAAGCGAGAUUUGAAAUUGAAUACCUUGAGCCAUGUAUAAUUUGGAUUGAAGUGUGAAAGAGAGAGAUUGGGUAUUGGUAGAAAGGAUAAGAGAAUUGUUAUAGCGAGGAAAGGGGAUUGAGAAUGAAGGAUUGGAAGAUAGAAAGAGUGGUGUUUGAGGAAUGAGGGAAUGGUUGCGGAGCAUUACAAUGACAUUCUCAUUUGUCUUUAAGCGCGCAGUUUCUAUGAGUCACCUAACGUUUGAUCUUGAUCAACGGUUGUUGGAUUGUCACUUCCUUGAGAAGAAAUAGUUUAUUUUCAUUUUCAGAUCAAAAUCAAAUUAAAACAAUUAGUUUAUUGGUUUGGAUUCAUUUACUCUUAAAAAUUGAACUAAACCGAUCUAUUAUUAUACUCCUAAUUUAAGAAUUUAAUGAAAAUGCAUUAUCUUAUAUCAUCCAUGUAAAUUAGUUUACACUUUACACUUAUAUUCAUCAUAUCACCUCAUAAAUUCCCUUUGUUAGAGACUUUUUAAAAUAACUUCCACAUAAUUGCACCCAAACUCUAUACGUACCUGCAAAAAAUACCCGCUAUGGAUAGAAUAAAAUACCACUUUCAUGGAUCCAGAUUUGGAUAUGUGUAAUUACCCGCAAAAUUAUAUGGGUAUGAGCGCGGGUAUAAGUGCUGUACUACCCAGCACUGCAACCCGCAUAUAUGUAUUUAUAUAAUAUUAUAAAUAAUUUAUUAAUUUUUUGUGUACAAUUAAUUAAUAAAUUUAACUAUUUAAGCCUAACCUUAAACCUAAAUCAGAUUAAUAAAAACUUUAGUAACAAUUUAUUAUGAUUUUAACAUGCAACUACAACUUUUUAACGUAUAACUGAUGUAAGGUAUUUAUUUUUUUUCUUUUCAGGAAUAAUUUGGAUGUUUUUUUAUUUGGUUAAAUAUUACGAUUCAUAUUAUUUCGUAAGUUGAUUUAAAAAAAUUUGGAUCAUAGUUUUAUUUCAAGUGUGGUGAUUUUUAUUAUCUUUUCAUAAAUUGCGGAUAAUGGGUGCAGGUAUGAACACUUAAGUGUCCAUAGAAUAUGGGAAAGGACAUUAAAGUUAUUGUCCACGAAAAUACGGAUACGGGUAUGAACAUUUUUUACAAACGUGAGUAUGGAGAUGAAUAACUCAUUGGGUAGCCAUUGCCACUGCACAUACUUGAUUUUCAUUGGAAACCAAUUAAAGCUAAUUUGCAUGUGCCUUUUCUCUUUCUUAAAUUUGCAUAGUUUGAAGUAUUUAGUCCUCGUCGUCGAUAAUUAAAGGUGAAAGUAAUAAGGAAAAUAUUUUUUUUUACAUCUAAAACCAAUUGACAAAUAAAAUGUGUGAUGUGAUAAAUGUGACAUGUUAGUAGUUGUGUAAUUUAUUUCAAAUAACACAACUACUUCAAAUAAAUGUAUUAAAUUAACAACUUAAAACCUAUUUAAAAUUUAAAAAAAUGUUAAAGAACUUAUUUAAAACUUAAAAUAGGACUAAUCUAGUAAAAGAAAGUAUUCAGCCUAUAUUAAAUAAAGUGAGGGGGUGUUUGACCCGUUUCUUGACGCAUAGGACAAAGCAUUAUGUUUAUCAUGUACUACCAAAAUAAUCUUAAAAAAAAUAAAAUAAAAUCAUGACCAUCCAUGAUGCAUACAUGUCAAGUUCAGAGUACAAAAAAGAACACAGGUACGUAUUGGCUUACGUCAAGAUGACAAAGAACUAGUACUAGUCAGUUAAUAGUAGCCAUUGCCACUGCCAACCAAGUGCGGGUAUAAAAGCCACACGCGUGUGUAAAGUACUAAAAGCACGUACAAUUUUCUUCCUACAUCCAAUUUUCUUUAAAGAAGAAAGAGAUUUUUGAUUCAGCAACAUGGGUUGGAGAGGAUUAUUGGGUUUUGAAUAUGGCAUAAUUCAGGCACCACUAGGUCCUGAUAUCUCUGGUCCUCAACUUGUUGCUGCUGUUGCCAAUGCUGGCGCUCUUGGCCUUCUCAGGGCCCCUGAUUGGGUUGGUUUGCUUCUUCACUCACCCUUAUAAUUAAGUUAUUAUUAUUAUUAUUGAUCAACACUUCACUCAUACAUGUGAUUGUUAUAAUAUUAUUACUAUUACUAUUACUAUUACUAUAUUUUGCGUUUGUGUACUCUCAAGUUUUAACUUUUAACUUUCAAGUCUUCAAUUUUGUUUCUUUCCACUUUCCCUUUUUUGUAUUAUCAUAUGCAUACAGUGUAAUUGUGUGUAUGUAUGAAUAUGUAGGAAUCACCGGAUUACUUGAGGGAGCUUAUUAAGCAGACCAGGACCUUAACUGAUAAACCCUUUGGGAUUGGUUUAGUUCUAGCUUUUCCUCAUGAGGAGAACUUGAAGGUCAUUCUUGACGAAAAAGUUGCAGUAUUGCAAACUUAUUGGGGUGAUUGUACAACGGAAUUGGUUGCUAAGGCUCAUUCAGCUGGGGUCAAAAUUGUUCCACAAGUUAGUCUUAUGCCACCCUAUUUCUAAUUUUAGCUUUCCUUUUGAUUCAUAUACAAUUUAUAUUAUUUUGCUUAUAUUUAUCUGAUGCAUAACUAAAAUUAGGCCAUGUUUGGAUAAACAACUUAAUUAAAUUAAGUGCUAAGUGCUUAUCAUAUAACUGAUUGUGUAUACCUUAUUUCUAUAACAAAGAUAAAAAAGUUAAAUUGUUUUAAUAUACGCUAUAAAUUAUUAUGGAUAACUUAUGAAAGCUGAAAACCGAUUAUGAGCAUCUCAUAAAUUGUUUGCAUAAGCUCUCUUACACAAUCCCACAAGUGUUUGUGUCAGUAGGUAAACUCAAACAAGUGAAUCCAGACAGUUCCUUAGUCUAGACUGUUUAACUUAUAAAUUCAAAAUACUUAACAUGAUUGUCAAUUUACAGAAAGUGAACAUCUCAGCCUGUUUUAAUUUUUAUUACAUACCUGUUUUGGAAUAACUUAUAAAUGCUAGCAUUGCUGAGUUUAUAGGUGAUCCUUAUUCCUAGUAGACCAGUUGCUUGACUUAAGAAACUUGGCUGCUAAGUGUAUGUUAUUGUUGCAUAUUGAGAAGUUAUUUUCAUUCUGUUUGGGAUCUGACCUGUUACUUAUAUUUGUGUUUCUAUUAUAGGUCGGAAGUUUCGAAAGUGCAAAACAGGCAAUUGAUGCAGGUGCCGAUGGAAUCAUUCUGCAAGGACGUGAAGCAGGUGGUCAUGUUAUUGGUCAGGUGUGCAUGCUUGUCAUGGUUUUGAUGUAUGCAUAUGUUUUUCAGUAUAGAACUAUAGAUAAGCUAUCUUUAUCUUAGUGGUGAUAAGUAAGAAUAGUUAGUAAUUUAUUGUGUCAGUUCAAUCACAGAAUGUUAGAAAAAUUGCUGAUAUUAUGUUAUCAUUACUUUUUAGUGGUUUUUACUAUUCUUGGGAAAAGUGGUUAAUGACUUACACAAUACCUACUGUCACAAUUGACUGCAACGUAUGUUUCAUAUUAUAACACUUGUGUUUGAUAGGAAAAUAUAUUUGAAAGAUGAGUUGUGCUUAGUUCUUGAUAAGCCUGUAAAAUAUCCCUGAAAACCUCAUGAUCUGUUCAGCAUCUUUAUUCCCAGGUUCAAUUUAUACCUAAAAACUUUUCGAUCAUUUUUCUCCUGAUCCAAUAAAAUUAGCAAGAAGCCUUAAUUUGAGGAGGUAGGGAGUUAAAAAGAAAAUUUUCAUAUUUGAUGUUUUUCUGUCAUAAAUAAUGAGUUUAGUGCUCGGCGCCUAUUUUUUCCUCCCAUCCAUAGUUAAAAAACAAUUAUUGUUAAAAUGUGGCUUGUUCAAUCUUGUCAGUGAAUGGCAGUAACUUACAUAUGCAAUGUUCAUACCCUUUGAAGGAGGCAAUCUUUUAUUGUUGGUCAUUGCUUUAAUGAUCUUUAGUAGCAGAUGUAAAUGAUAGCUAAUCAUUAUUUCCAUCCUAUUCCUUUCCAUUACAGUUGAUCAUAGAUUUUAGUAUUCCCCCCGUGUUUUAUUGCAGGAUAAUUUAAUUUCAUUGGUGCCGAGGGUGGUCGAUCUUGUUGGGGACCGUGAUAUACCUGUUAUUGCAGCUGGAGGAAUUGUAGAUGGUCGUGGUUAUGUUGCUGCUCUAGCACUUGGUGCUCAAGGCGUCUGUCUAGGCACUAGGUACGUAUUGAAAUAUUUAAACUUAUACAUAUGAUAAGGAUAUUGCUCAAUAUUCUUUGAGGAGUAUCUUAGAACACAUUUUUAUGUUUUUAAACUGAAGUACAGUUGCUGCAUCCAUAGCAGCCUACAUUUAGGCUAAUAACUUAAACAAAUGUAUUCCUUAUCAGAUCCAAUAUUGAAUUCAUAUUUUGCAUAUUUCAUCUGGGAUUAAUAUGAUGUCUAAGGAAAAUGGUGGUGGAAGGGAAGUGAUUUUUAAUUGAUUCUUGUAUCAUCCUGUAAUUUUUGUGUAGCUCACUUCAAUGAUACCGUCUAUUUUCUGAAGAAUUUGAAAGUCAUUUUGAUGUUUACCCAUUCAAAUGAAAAGUAUCUCCUGCUAUGCAUCCUGAAGAUUAGUGAUUGUGUUUUCAUUUGUCCGUCUUCGUUUAUUGAUCAUAAAUGACCAGAGUUUUCACAAAUUCAUAUUCAUGACUCAUGAAUUAAGACCGGAUUCACUUUAUCGGGACACGUCUAGACAAACUUAAUUUGAAUGGGACUUGUUUCUAACACUAAUAUUCAUGCAAAUGGUCUUGUUUGCAGGUUUCUUGCAACUGAAGAAAGCAAUGCUCAUCCUAUAUACAAAAGAAAGUUAGUUGAACUCAAUGAAACUGAGUACACAGAUGUAUUUGGCAGGGCAAGGUGGCCCGAUGCACCACAUCGUGUCCUACAGACACCCUUCUUCAAAGACUGGAGAUCCCUUCCAGCUCAUGAAAGUGAAGCCAACCAACCUGUCAUUGGCCAUUCAACAAUUCAUGGAGUGGUAAAGUUUCAGUUUUCAUUUAUUUCAUUAGUAGAAGCAUCUUGUAGACUAUUGUGCUACAACCUUUUUAUUUGAUUACAUACUUUUGUCAUCCUCCAGGAGAAAGAGAUACGUCGUUUUGCCGGUACAGUCCCAAACAUGACAACUACAGGUGAUCUUGAGAGCAUGUGUAUGUAUGCUGGCCAAAGUGUUGGUCUCAUCAAGGAAAUUUUGACUGCUGGUGAAGUGAUUAAGAGACUAGUUGAAGGGGCUCAACAUAUAAUACAGCAAAACUUCAAGUAGAAUCUCAAAUUUUAAGUGAAUCAAGAACAAAUGGAAUGGAUUCUUUGUUUCAUUCCGUUCUAUUCAUUUUAAAAUAUCCAAACAUUUAUGUAUGUGUAUUUGAGAUGCAACCGGAGGUUAUGUGCUUGGUAGAACAACAUGGUUUGCACCACUGUGUUCAGUAGAUAUUGACAAGGCUUUAGGACUUCGUGACGCGCUGCAGUGGGUAGCUGACCUCGGUAUGGACAACAUCGACUUCUCUCUGGAUUCAAAGCUCGUCGUUGACGUUGUCAGUAGUAAUAAUAGUAGCAACACUGAUUUUGGAAGUAUCAUUAACUAUUGUAUCAGCUACUUAGUACUCAUUUUACCAAUUCUAAGGUAGAGUUUAACAGGAGGCAAGCAAAUGGAAUGACUCAUGGAUUAGCACAGACAACCACGUUAGAAGCUAGUUCCCAAUUAUUUAUUGAUCUACCGCCUUGUAUCAAUAACUUGUUAUCCAAUGAAAUAAGAUGAAUUGUCUCCUCUAAUUUUUUUUUGAUUAUAUAACAUUUAUAAUAAUUUAAUUAUACAACUGUAUCAACCUGUACAUUUCUGUUAGCCACAUGGAAAUUAUAGAGUUAGUCGAUCAAGUGACAUAAAUGACUUAUUUAUUGCAAUGUCAUUCACAUUUGAGACUAAUUUAAACCUUUUUAAACGCAAGAGACCAACUUAAAACCUAAAACAAACGUAAAUGGUCAAACAUCAAUUUUUUUCCUUAAGGAAUUCGAUAGCAAUUGUUUGAAGCAAACCAUCCUCAUUUUUUUUUUUUGGUACAAGCCGUCCUCGCUUUCUAAGUACCAUUUAUAUGACAAAAGAUUGCAAAAUUAGGCUCUUUAAAAUAAAAAAUGCUAUAAUUUAUUUAUUAUUUCAAAAGAUUGAUCUUAUUGAGUAUAUGAAUUAAAUUUAAUUUUGUAUACUUAUGAACCGGUCUUUUCGUGCCACAAAGGAUAAGACCAAACCAAAUCCUCUUCUUCUGUUGUUAAACUCGACUAACUCUCACUGCCACUCCCAAGUUAUUAGUAUAAGACUGUUUCAAACCUCAACACCUUCAAUAGCAGCCACUUCUAUUGAACCUUUUCAAAUCUCAAUUUGUUGAUGUCUUCCUUGAUGAUGAUUUUUCUUUCUUCUUCAUCUAAGAUGUUUGGUCCUUCUUCAAUCAUAUUUUUCUAUUUCAAGUGUGAUUUUUUUGAUUAAUGAAGUAAGUUCACAAAACUUCUAUCUUGAUACUAUCAUAACUUUGUUUUAUUUUUAUUUUAUGUAGCCAAAUUUAGGCACAUCAUACACAUUACACCGUGACAUACAUUGUUGUUAUUGUGAUUUUGUCAUUAUAAGUUUCUUUUUGUCGAACACCAGACACAACACUAGCAUGUCAACAAGGUAAUAAUUUAAUUACAUGUCUGAAAUGUGUCACUUGAACAUCAAAUUUUGGUCUUCUGGUACUUAGAAAUAAAAUCGAGUCUAACUACAAGCUCCUUACAACCAAGUAUAUCCCUCUGGUUUAUAUACUCAAAAGUAGAAAAGAACCUGUGAAGAAAAAAGUAAAUACAUGUAGAAGUUAUCACGGAUUUAAUGUAACAAACAUGCACUUACCAUCUUUCCUAUUAUUAGGAUUUUUGCAAUUAUUAUUAAGAUCAGAAAUUUAUUUUAUUUCCUUAUUUAUUAUAUUGCUGUUCCUACCAUUCCUUAAUCUAAGGAAUAGAGACACUCUUAAACUUGGGCAACAUGAUUUUGUUAGGGAUAAUGAUGGCAGUGGGAUUGUCAUAGGUUUAGGGAGGGAUGAAUUUGGAAUUUUCAUUCUGAACGGUGCUUUGAUUGCUGAAAAGUUUCACUUGAAUGCUCCUACACUAGCAAAAUUCGAAUAUCUUGGACCAUUGAAUAUGUUCAUGGUAAGCUUCUUGGCUGAUGAUAAUGCACAAGUUGCUAACAAUGCGGAAGUGGUGCAAGAAGCUGUUAACAAUCCAGAAGUCGUGCAAGAAAUUGUUAACAUGGAAGAGGUGGUUCAAGAAGUUAUCGAUAUUAGUUCUGAUGAAGAGGUCCACAUGAGCUCUGAUGAAGAAGAGGAAGGUGAAGACCAUGCAUUCGUCUAGAUGGCCAAGGGUACACAGCUGAUUCAUAUUAAUUCUCAUUGCAAUAUGUGUAUAUUUGUAUUGUAUUUUUAUAAUAUAUGUUACAAUGGAGGCAGUAAUGAAGCCAGUGACAUUUUCUGCUGUUAUGAAUCCACAUUUGAUAGAUAUCCACAAAGUUAACUAUUCAUCAUCCAAAUCUAGCUACACAAAAACUAUUGGCUAUCUUUUCAAAUCACUGAAGAUUGAAAAUGCUCUAGUUAUUUCUUCUUGAUCUUUUUCAACUGUCAAUAUUUGAAUAUGCUAGAAAAGCAGAUUCCAAAUCACAUAAAACUUCAUUUAUAGAAAGAAAAAUCAACAGAAAAAAAAAGUCUCGAAAUUCUUGAAAGGGCAGCUCUUAUAACAUGUCACAUAUAUGAUAUAUUACAAUUACAAACAACAGAAGCAUCAAAAUAAAAAGCAACAGAUUAGAGAAUUUAUAUACCAUGAUUAAUGUUUUUUAUUAAGGAACAUAAGUUCCUAAGUGUUGCAUUAAAAGUCCCUUUGGAGAAUCUGAACUGCCACUGCAGUAGAAGCUGAAGUCCAACAUCUACCAAAUAACAUCACAACAAAUUAUUACAUGCACUGUGAAAAUUGGACUCUUUGGAAUGAAAAUAUUACAACAAAAUAUCACUAGAGGAUUCAUAACAGUGCCUCAUAAUUGGUGAUGCUGAGUUCAAAUAAUAAAGCAUAAAACAGAAGACAAAUAAAGCUUGUAUUUUGAGGACUGAACAUUAAAAAUUCUCAUGCUAUGGAAAACAUUAAAUAUUAGUACCGAAAAUAAGUUUUUAGGAAGAAAAAACACACCUUUUUCCUGAGUAUGAUAAGGCACAAUUUCUAAUUCCUUGAGUUCCGAAUAAUCUUUCCAUCGACUCUAGAGAUUUCUACAAGGGGCACAUGCUCCAUGAUCCAAUUCCAAUCCUUGGGAGAGUUGUGCUGCAAAACUUCAACUUGCAUACUCCGAAUUAGGAGAACUUCAAGCUUCUCUAAAUGUUGGAUGCCGGUGAUAUUCUUCAAAUUAGAGAGUCCGUAUAACUGAAGCAUUUUUAUAGAAGACAGUGCUCCUUUGUCGAUAAUAAUAUCUGUCAAUUCAUCCGAAGAUCCAAUGUACAGUUCUUUUAGUUUCGGAAACCAUCCAUCUUGAAAAUACAUAUGUGAACCUCCAUAAGCACCAACGCCUAUAGAGAGGAUCAAUAAGUGUUGCAAACUUUUUAGAGAUUGCAUUGAAUCUUUAGUCAAACAUGAGAGCUUCAACCUCAACACAACAAGAUUUUGAAGCUCUAAAAUCCACUCUGGCAACUUCAGUAGCUUCCCACGUAGUGUAAGUUUUCGAAGCUUAGUUGGCGGUGAAAUCAAAUUCAAAUCAAUGAAUUCAUCGUUAUCUGUUGACCUUGAUUUAACAUGUAAUUUCUCCAAGUGUUGCAUUUCAUUGAUUGAGGAAGAUAGAAUGUCGUAAUCUUCUCUACAAACAUUAAGCAACCCCAAAUCCUUUAUUUGCUUCAGCUUUCCUAACUUUUUAAUUACAUCUACAGCUCCUUCCAUACCUAAAUUAACAUAACGUAGCGUUUGUAGGGAUGUCAUCUCUCCAAUACCAUCCUUUAACUGAAUCAAAGACAGUCCAGUGCCGAUAAGAUGUCUUAGCUUUCUAAGCUUGCUAAUCUCCUUUGGCAACUCACUAACGUGCGUAGCCUUUAGAUCCAAGGUCUCUAGGUUCUGGAGCAUGCCAAUGGAUUUUGGGAUUUUACCUGUUGUUACAUAACCCAAACUUAAAUACUUCAAGUGGAUCAAACUUCCCAACUCUUUUGGAACAUUCAACAAUCGAGGAAAUUGAUAAUCAAGAACCCUCAACCACCUGUAUUUUGUUGGAAUUCUCCUUGGAAAGGAUAAAUAUGAAUCUUCAUUUGUAAUAACAAGUAUUGACCGAACAUGUGAACUUUCAAUACGGUCAAUGAAGUCAUCAGAAGUGGUUGUUAUUGAUAGGCGGCGAAAUGUUCCACUUAAGUAUGAUUGUCCACCUUCACUGAUAAGCUUGCAAAAAUUUAAAUCCUCAAAUUUUUCAAGGAUCAUAUCGCGUAUUAGAUCAUGAACACGACAACCUUUAGCUUUACCAUCAACUCUAACCGAAGAUACUUGCACCAAGCUUCUAUGGAUCAACUCUGUUAAAUAUCCUUCUGCAACGUCUUCCAAAGUCUUCCCUCUUUCCUCCUUCACGAACCCUUCAGCUACCCAUUGUCGAAUCAAUCUCUUUGAUUUAACUUCAUAAUCUUCUGGAUAUAUUCCAAAAUACAACAAGCAUGACUUGAGAGAGUAAGGCAAAUCAUCGUAACUUAAGCCUAAAACUUCUUUUAUCCCAACUAGAUGUGUAUCUUUCAUUAGCUCUAAACUUAGAUUCUCACUAAAUCUUUGCCACUCAAACACAUUUUUCUCUUUUGCAGACAAAAGUCCUCCAAUGGCAACAAUUGCUAGCGGUAAACCGUUACAUUUUUUAACAAUUUCAUAAGCUAUACCAAUGAGCUCCUUUGGACAACAACCACCAUGGUCAAAUCUGAAUGCCUUCUUAUUGAACAACUCCAAAGAUUGUUGUUCAUUUAAAGGUUGCAACUCAAGCACUUCAAUAUAAGAAGAUUUUUUACAAGACAACACAACAUCUAGGUUUCUUGUUGUGAUAAAUAUCUUACUUCCAUUUUUAUUAUCAAUUACAGCAAAUUCAAUAUCAUCCCAAAAAUGUACACUCCAAACAUCAUCAAACACAACGACAUACCUUUUUAACCGCAAGUAGUUUCUCACUUCAUCAGUCAAUGACCCUCGAUCCAUUUGAAAAAUAUCCUUAGGAGGAUCUUCUUCGUUUUGUUUGUAAAACUUUAGCAACAUGUCCCUCAACAACCCUUCAACAGUAUAUGAUUGAGACACUAUGAUCCAUACACGACAAUCAAAGUGUCCAAUGACAUUCCUGUUGUCAAAAACUUUCUUCGUAAGAGUGGUUUUACCUUGCCCUCCCAUGCCUACUACAGAAAUUACCGUGCGCUCAUCUCUUCCCUUUACCAACCAAUCAAUCAACAUGUCUCUCUGUGUUUCAUAGCCCACAACUUCAGCUUCCUCAACGUAAAGAGCAGCCGCUCGAGGAUCGUGCCACUUAGCAUUCUGGCUUCCUCUAGAAUUGCUUGAUCCUUGUUCAAAAGAACGUUGGAAGCCAUAUCUUUCACUUCUUUCCUUGAUCUCACGAACAGACGACUUAAUGUCUUGAAUCUCAGAUGCUAUUCGACGACGAGGGAUCACAGUUUUAAUCUUGUGGAGUAAAGAUACACAUCCAGGAUCAUGAGGAUGUUGUCUCACAUGGAUCAAAUAAUCAUCGAUGAUAUCUUCUAUGCGAAAAGCUGCUUCCCUAACCUGCUUCACCCAUGUUUUGACUCCUUCAGCUGCUGCAGCUCUUUUAUCAGCAUCUUUAAGAAAGGCUUGAAUGCUUUCAAGUUCAUCUUUAAUAUCUGAAAAUUCCUUGUGAACACCUCUUAGCAGAUUGGCUUCUUCCCUUAACAGUGGAAGUAGUUGAUCAAUAACUAAAGACACUGCAAUUUCUGCCAUUUGAGUCUAUGUUGUGAUUAUUGUUUUAAGAGAUAUUUUGUUUCUGCCAUUUGAGUCUUAGUUGAUGAAGACAAAUAUCAACUAAAUGGAAAGCAUCUAUCAUGAAGAAUAAUGCAAGUAGGAAGUUGGCUGAUAUCCACUAAAUGGGAAUCUGUAAAGCGUGUCUUGACUUUUGGAUAAGCUAACAAAUAUCAACCACAGUACACAAUGGCUAUUGCCAAAGAAAGUAAACAUUAAAGUUUGAAAAGGAAAAAUAUUUAAAACAAACAGUUUAAUCGUUUGAAAAAUUAUUUUGAUUGUAUUAAAAUUACUAGAUAUGUAUCCAAUUUUUAGAAAUAAACUUUCAAAAGCAUCACAUAUAAUAAGUCUCAUUAGUCUUGAGUUUUUUUUUCCUUAAAAAAUAUAAUAAUCUUUGAGGCAAGCUAAGCAAUUUGUUAUUCUUGUUAUUUAAGAAUUUGGAUUAUCUACAUAAGUAUUUAAACAAUAUUCAUUCGUUCAUUUUUACUUGUUGUAGAAAAAAAUUUUGUUUUAUUUCCUUUGAAAAUGACAAGGAAAUAAAACAAUUUUUUUAUGUCAGACUAUGGGGUCUGUGAUAUAUAUAUGGACACUUAAACAAUAAAUACUAGUGUAAAAUAUCAUUUAUCCUAUCAUCUCUAUAUGAUAAACAUAAUAGAUAAUGUGAACUAAACUUCCUCCAAAGUUAUAUUUGAUCAACUAAUGUGACAAAUUUUCUUCUCUUUACGUAACAAAUUAACAAGUAAUCAAAUAGUAAGGAUAAAGCCAUAGAAUCUACUUAGUAAGAAUUCAACUCACAUCUCACAAAGCUAUGAGUUGGAAUCAUGUUGUUGAUGUGAGGACCGCGUUUAUAGGUAGGGGUAUUCAUAUCCAAUCCAAUCCAAUGUAAAACGAACCGAAAAAAAACCAAACCAAAUUAAAAACCAAAAAUUGAAAAAACUGCAAUUUUAAAUGGAUUGGAUUGGUUUUCGGUUCUCUUUGUAUAAAUCGAUCCAAUCCAAUCCAAACCGUAAUAUAUAUAUAUAUAUAUAGGGGCGGAGCCAUGUUGGCUCUUGUGCAAGCAAGUGCCCCCACUAAUUUUGAAAUUUUCAUAUCCAUCCUAUAUAAUACUACAUCAUAGAUUUCCAGCACCAGCACCAGCACAUACAUAUACAUACAUAUACACAUAGUAUUAUAAAUAUGAUGAUAGUGUAUGAUAACUGGAUUGCAUAUUAUAAAUAAUACAUGCACCUCUUCUCUAUGUGUUGUUUGUUUCUUUUUUUUAGCUUCAUUUUUCGGUAACAUUACUUCUAGGUGCUGCUAAUUUACAUCCACCUAAAAAUACUAAGGUGUAAGUUAGCAACAUACAUCCACUUGAUUAUAUACACUCAUUUUUAUAAAUUUUAUCAAAUUGUUUACAACCAUCUUACUAAUUUACACUGAUCACUUUCAUCCCAUUCUAAAUAUUAUUUCCUUAAAAGUUUGUCUCUAUUACAUGUUUUAUACCUUAAGCAUGUCAUUGUUUUUUGUUUCUUUUUUUAAGGAUCUUACUUAAGAUAGUUAAGAAAUUGCCCUUAUAUUUAAAUUUAAUUAGAAUAGAAACAAAAAGGUGUUUUAGUAAAAUAUAAGUGUGUGUAAUUUACAUGUUAGUGUAUUUAGGUGGGUGUAAAUUAUCAGUCCCCAAUAUUAUAUACCUAUAACAAUUAUAAUACUUCUUUCUUUCUAAAAGAAAAUAUUCUUGUCAAUAUAUUUUUGUAACACUUAUUUUAUUCCAUUUUUAUUUUAGAAAUUUAUAUGUAAAUAUUGCCCCCACUACUUUAAAUCUCUGGCUCCGCCACUAUAUAUAUAUAUAUAUAUAAUGAAAUUUUUAUAACUGUUUCCUUAAUUUAUAAUCUUGUAACUAUUUUCUAGACUUUUUAUUGGGAAAAAGAGGCUAACAAAAAGAAAAGAAAAAAAAAAGAAGUUAAAAACUAAUCUCGUGAUACAUCUCUUGACCGGCAUUAGCCUGUAGUUGAGGAAGCAAGCCCUUUGGUGGCUUCAGAAAUUCACGCCAAAUCUCAGUACUUGUAGUUCCUAGUUUAGCCAUGAAAUCAGCUUUUAAAUAUACAAUUCAUUGACACUGAACAUCAAUGGGCUCAUAUAUUUACUAAGUCUUUAACUGUGGAAAGAUUUGAUUUUAUAAAGAAAAAUUUGAACAUGCACUUUGUGUCUGAUUAAAUUUGCUUACUCCUGAACAGAAAUUUAGGUUCUGAAGUCGUUCAGAAGCUAUAGUCCAUCAGAAGCUCUUUAUUGAGGUUCUGAGGAAAAUGUGCUUCUGAAGAUGACAUCAGCAUCUGAACUCCAGAAGCUGGGUUUUGUGCUCCUGAAUAGCAGAGUUAGUGGAAACGUUGGAAGUUACUUUUUAGUGACACCUGUAACAUCCCAAUUUUUAAUAUUAGUUUAUUAGAUAAUAUUGUAUUAUUAUGUUUAGUAGUAGUGUUGAUUGUGUGACAUUAUUUUUAUUUUUAUUUGAAUUAAAUUAGUUUUUGGCAUGUUUGGGUGAGGUUGUUUAGAUAAUUGGGAAGGGGACAUUGAAUUGUUAAGGGUAGUAUAUAUAAACUAGAGCUUUAAUUAAUGGUAGUAGUUUAAUUAAAAAGAGAAUGGGAGAAAAUAAGUUUUAAGAUGAAAAUAGCAUUUAUAGAGAGAAUAAGAAAAUAGAGUGCGAACGGAGGUAGCUUAGUAAAACUGAGUAGAAAAGAGGUGUAGUUAAUGAGCUGAUUAGUGUUUUAAUGAUUUAAGCAAAGAGGUGUGAAUAGCAAGGUGGUGUAGUUACAGAAAGAAUAGUAAUAGUAAUCUGAAAAGAUUAGUAACAAAGAGUCUGAAAAGAUUUGUAACAAACUCAAUUAGAGCUUAUAGAGAAACAAGACGGCAAAAGGAAAACUAGGGUUGUGGAGAGAAAAAACAAGAUGACAUAGAAAGAAGAACCUGGAGAGAGACUUCACUGUAUGAAUUCAUCAAAUUCUCCAAACUAGAGGUAAGGGGGGAGUCUCUAUUCACCAUAAGGGUUGUAUGAACAUAUGGGUAGGGAAGAACUUUUGUUUUCCAUUGAAUUGCAUGAUCUUUUAGUGAAUUUAGGUUAAAUUUGCACUUAAAUUGGCGCUGUAAUUUUGGGUAUAUUCUUGUCUCUAAAUUCAUUAUAUUCAUGUGCUAAAUUUGUGAUUCAAUUAUGGUUGUGUUGUGUUUUUUUUUAGUUUUCGAUAUAUUGCAAUCGUGAUUUCGAAAGAAAGUCUGAAAUAUGUUUUUGAUUUAAUCUGUGAUUUCAAAAUAUUGCACUGUAUUACGAUUUUCUAAGCACAAUUAUUAUUUCGACAUGAUACUGUACGAUAUAUGUAUUACUAUAACUAUAACUACUUUUUUUGUGCUCAAAUAUGCAUGCAUAAUCGUUCUUUUCUAUACUUUCAGGGGACCCUUCUCAAAUAGAUGAAGAUUUAAGUUCUUCUUUGGUUGUCACAGGGGAGCUUGAGAAUCUAGUCUCCAAGAAGUAUUUAGCUAUUGAUAACUUGUACUUGUUGACGGAUUUCCUUGUUAAUCAUCCUUCAAUUCUUCUAAGGAACAGUUCACCGAGUAACAGAUAUAAGGGUUAUGCCUACAACUGUCUAGCUGAUCUAUUGAAAUUCCUCCAAACGCAUUGUGUGUUGGAUGUGUUAGGUUCAAGCCACUCUGAAUUUGUUGAGUUAUUAGAAGAAGUGUGGAAAUGUGGUUUCAAUAUUGGUUGGACAGUGUCGAAAAGCGUGCUUUAUUUCCUGAUUUACAAUUCUCUCAAAAUGCAUUGCAAAAGCUGUUGAAUUCCCAACAGCGUGUAACCAAGGAAGUUGAAGAGAUGCGUUUAAAGAUUAACAUUUUUAAUCAACAUGAGGAAGAUCUUAAGCAUCAAUUGCAAGUCUCCGAGGCUGUUUUGGAGAGUCUCAUUCAACAGAAAGCAAGUUUUAGAAACUAAGGCUGCUUUAAGUGCCCCUCUUGGCUAUUAGACUUUCUUUUGUCAUCAAUUGGUAGUUACUAGUUUCUGCUUUUCUCAUUUGAAAUGAACUAUUAUGUUUGUGUACUUUAAAUUUGUUAUUGAUUACUGUAUUAAACAAAGGAAACGCCAUAUUAAGAAUAUUGUAAUUGGAAUGACAUGCUGAAUGUGCCCCUCUUGGCUAUUAGAGUAUCUUUUGUUGUUGGAGCUUCUAUCUUUGAAUGUUAUUGUUUAUUUCUUGGGUAGUUUAUUCUUUUCCCAUUUGAUAUGAACUACUAUCAUAUUCUAUUUGUGUAUUUUAAAAUUGUUAUUAAUUGUUGUAUCAAACAAGGGAAAAGCCAUAGUAAGAAUAUUGAAAAAUUGGAAUGGCAUAAUGUUAAACAUGAAACUAUGAUUCUUAAGAGUAGUGCUAGCAACACUCUCUCUAACAUUUAAUAUUAAGGUUCCUUCCACACAGUUUCACCUUCAAACCUCAUCACAAUUUGAUAAAGUCUUUUGGUUCAAUGACAUGCACUGCCAUGAUCUUUGUUCAACAUCAGGUAUGUAUAUUUUAUAUCUCUACAUUUUUCACUUUUUUACUAUAUAUCUACAUUUAUUACGGACACAACACUGAUACGUAUAAUUACACUGAAUUGUGUGAUUUUCUUAAAUUAUUAGCAGUGUGAACGUGUCAAUGUUUGUGUCGUGUCUGAUCUUCAUCCAUACCGUGCUUCAUAGAUAUUACACCUAUCAAUUUUAUUUGUCUUUACUCUUUUUUACGUCCGCUUCAAUCUCCACGGUCAGGGAAUAAGGAAUGGCUUGAUGUAGCUUCAAUGUGCAGUUGUUGAACAAGCGUGCUUUGUUUGGUCAUACAUCAUAAUUAAUAUUCCCUUUUUAUAUUUCAACAAGUGUGAUUUCCUUGAAUAAUCAAGUGAGUUGACAUCACAAUUUCCAUAUUUAUGAAAGUUCAUUUUAUAUAAUGUAUCCACACAAAAGCACAAGUUUAAUUAAUACACAGGCACCACUUUCAUACAAGGGUAUUGGGAUUUUGAAUUUUUCUAUCAAUUAUGGAAUUUAUGCGUAUAUUUGCUUUUUGGAACUUAUAAAGAUUUGAUCUUAAGUUAUACAAAUUGAAAAUAGUUGUGUUUGAUUAAGUAUCCUAUUUUUUUUUUCAAGUAUUUGUUUUUUGAAUAUAUAUAUAUAUAUAUACACACACUACUCUUAUUAUAUUAUUAUUAUUAUCUUAUAAUUAUAAUCUUUCUGUUUUAGCGAAAGGGAAGGCUACCUGGCUAUUUUGCAAGAUAGUUUGGAUUACAAGUUGCUCUUUAUGUUAUUCUCUGUAAUCCACAAACCAAAAUGAGUUCGAGGUUCUUGUGGAAAAGGAAAAUGGGAAAUUUUAUUUUUCGGAUGGUUGAGGAAAAGGAAAAUGUUAUUCUCUGUGAUCCAUUUUCGUCUGAAGAAACUGAAAUUGUCAUUGAUGAUUAUGAAGUGAAUUCCUAAGGUUUUGGGAGUUUAGAGAGGAAGGGUAUAGGAAAAAAGGAAGGAACAAAUGGAAGAAAUAGAAGAUAUUGGGAGAGAAGGGUUUGGGAGGUUAAUUUUUCUUCAUAAUACAAAACUCUACUCAUUUGGGGAACUAAAAAUUUUGUAUUUGAGAAGGGUUUUUGGAGGUUUUAUAUUUUUUUUUAGGUGUAAACCAGAUAUCCUCCGCGCGCAACUGCGGAGACUAAUCCCUCGAGCAUUGUGGGACCCAGAUGGGCGGCAGACUCUCCCUAAGAGUUUUAACGCUGUUGCAUGCCCAAGGUCGGAUUCGAACCCAGGACCUUGGUUAAGAUAGAAGAGACCCGUUCCAUCUCAUCUAAGCGCUCUUGGGUUUUUGGAGGGUUUAUAUAUGAAUUCUUCAAAUUUAAUCUUUGUUUAUUAUAAUAUUUUUAAAAUUAAAAAUAUAGUAAUCAUAAACAUUAAUUUAUCACUCCUUAAAAAAUUUCUUUUUUGGAAAAUGUGAAACAUUUCUGUAUUUUCCUCUAUAUUUUCUACCCCUAUAGCCCUUCCUUCCCCUCCUCUCCAAACCCAAACUCUGGUACAAAGCCUAAAAGUGUAAUCUGAAAAUUGCCAAGACCUUGAUUGACUCCUUAUUAAAGCAAACCAAUCCCAAUAUUACAACCAAAUCCAUACUUGUGAUUGCUUUGGUAAUUCCAUACAUAGAUUAUAAGCGACAUUGACCGAUAUGUUAUUCAACAGAUUGAAAAUGAAACCAACUUGACUCCUAUGAAGAUUUACCACUAAAUUCAGCUCUAUGAUAAUGUGUAUUUUCCAUAUAAGAAUCACAUCAAAGGCUGUGAAAAUUGUUAUCCUCACUCAUCAUCACCUCAGCUUUUUUUCUUUCUUUCAGUUUUCAUGUCAUUUCACAUGGAUUUACAAAUUUAACAUCACUGCAAGAAGUUUUAACAUCUGUGACACCAAACCUGCAAUAGUUCCUUCAAAACCGUUCACAUUAUAUCUUUACAAUAGUUCCAAGAACAAGUUCUGUCAAUCACUGCUGUCUAUAUAGAAGCCCCUAAGACGCACAUUCCCAUUUUUGCAAGUCCUGCGUUCUCAUUUUCGCAAAACCUGCGCUGUAAAACCCUUCUUGCAAAUCUCUACCCAUUUUUCUCCCAAAUCGUUUCCUUUUCUAAAAAUAAUCUCAAAUCCACCAAAUCUCAUUCUCUCAAAUCCUCCAAAUAUCUUGGUCUCUCAAUCUUUUCCUUUUCUUAUUGUUUCAAUUUGAAAGUUCUACAUAAACAUAGGUAAAAUUGAGCACAAUAAAAGAAAAGAAAAAAAUCGCUCCAUAUUUGGAAUGAUAAAGUUUCAAAUUUUCAAUUUUACUUAGUUUUACUAACUUUAAGAUGGGUUCAUUCUGUAACUCAAUGGUGCCUUCUUUGUUUUCUGUUCUCCAACUCAAUUUCAACCAUUUCGUUGUUUCCAUCUUAGCCACCUAAAUGGGAAUACAGUGACCUUAAUCCGAGUCAAAUUGCUAAGAGAAAUAAGCACAUCCUAUAUAACAUGACACCAUUAUUCACAGCAUAGCCUACUACGUACCUAUGGAGCAGACAUGAAACGACAUCAAAAGCAUAGAAUAAACAUAUUUCACUUCAUGAUGACCCUAUGUAGCCUUUUUCAGAUUAUCAAAGUACAGAAAUAUUGCAUCAUUCCUUCACAAUAAAUAAUCUCAAAAUGACUACUUUCACUACAACUUAUCAAAAAUGUGGUUUCUUUUUCAUCGAUGAAGCAUGAAUGUGGAAUCAAAGCAACCUUAUCUAAUGACGCAUGUUGAUAAACAUAUCGAUCUACUGAAGCGUUAGGAAAAUCUUUCCAACUUAAUUUGAUUUUGCAUAAGUCAACCAUUGAAAUUGUACUUGAAACUUUUCCAACAAUAUCAACCAAUAACUAGGCUUGUGCGUGUCUCGUUGAUUUCUUUCUUGGCUCUUAAUAAAGCCAUGAAAAUAAACCUUAUUUUUUUCUUUUCAAAGUAUGGUGUAUUAAAUUAGAUAUUGGUAAUUUCUUUGAAAAUAAACCAUUGAAAUUGAACUUUAUUUUCUUUAAGAGCAGAACAUCUACGUAAUUUACAUACCUCAAAUAUAAUCACUCUCUGUGACUCAGCCGAAUCACCUAUCCAUAUGACAAUUCUCCUUAUGACGCAGUUAAAUUGUCAACACCAUACAUCAGCUCAUUUGGUGUAACACCAUAAAUGAAUGAGAAAAAUUAAAGGUAUUUUGAUGGACUGAACAAUAUUCAACACCAUAAAGGUAUUUUGAUGCAACUCUUAAUGAGACAGUGAAGAUAGAUAGUAGUUCUUUAUAGAGCAGUUAAGUUAUGCAAAAAUUAAAGUCAGAAAUAAAAUAAAAAAAAAAACGUCUAAAGAAAUGCAUAUGAAUUAAAGUUGAUAAGCUGAGGAAGAAUUCACACAAACCAAAGAAAAUAAACUCAAAUUUUACUCAAUCAAAAUGUGUCCUUCAUUCAAGACCAACAAAUUUCAACCCCAAAUUUUUAUUGGGCAAGGGAAAAUAAACUUUAAUUUUACUCAAUCAAAAUUCAAACUAUUAUUCAAUUUGUAAUACAAUAAGUAUUAUAAAUUUAUAAUCUUUGGAGAACCAUGUGAUUAAAAUUAAACUACAUAGAUAGAAAAGAAAAGGCCUCGCAAUCUUUAAAUUCUAUUUGAAAGAAAGCAUGUCUCAUUCCACAAUUAAAAUUUAAACUAUAUGCAUUUGGACAUUAAGGAAUUUUUACAUUGUCAUACCCUAACAUUUUUUAAAAGGCACAAAUUUUACCUCUGCAAGUUGACUACAGGGAUUGACCUGCCAUUAACUGUUCUCGGUAAUGGAUAGAUCCCGACAUUCUAGACUUGAAAUUUAUCUAUUACACAUGGUCAUAGUUUUCCUUUUUAUUGUAUGAGUGAGAGAGACAAAAGAGAAGAACUUUACCUCUAAUUGUGCAUUUCUACUACCAAAUGAAGCCAUGACAUACUAUUAAAGCUUGGUUCAACUUAACACUUAGCCCGUAUUUAUAGCAAACCUUUUAUAGAACCUUGUAGUGCAACUUCAAUCAUUUGAAUCUUUAUCUUCACAAACAUCAACGAAUCCUUACAACGUCAGAAUUGUUUCUUCAAAAAAUUCAAAAUUUUGACAAAAUCAAAUAAAAACUUAAACUAAAAAUAGCCGUUGGUUUACAUAUUGUUAAGGUUCAGAAACCUUUUUCUCUGAUUCUACCUACACCUUCACACGUAAACUUCAACGGCACAACACAGCACAAUAACCAGGAAGAACAAAAUACUAAAAACCCUAAAAUUAGAAAUGGGGAAGAAGAAAUCAAACUAAUAACAGUUACAAUUUAUCUGAUCAAUCUGUUACUGUUACAGAUCUUGUGAAAGAAUUUCCUGUUGGAAAACUUGUAAUUGGCAGGUGACCAUACCUAUGGUUUCUCUUAAUUUUUUAACGAGGUACUUCAAAAUGUGUACUAAGGUAGUAAAUAACAGGGUUAUAUCGGUGGCGCCUCUCUCAAAUUGUGUUGAAGUUACAUUGAAGACAUCAACAUUUUCUAGUUCAUCAAAAUCUGUGAUAUCUGAUUUGGGUAAAUUUCAUGUUGGAGAUGUGAUAUCUGGCAGCAUUAAGAGUGUCGAGCCAUCUGGUUUAUUCAUUGCAAUUGACAACACAAAAGUGGUAAUUUUACAUCCUUUGAUGCCAUUGGCAAUCCAUAUACUUGUAACGGAUGUGUUAUAAACUAAAUGAAAUGACGUUUUUAUUUUUUUUUGCUUUUUCCUUUUAACUUUCCAACUGUAUAUCAUGAUUUCCUUUAAUUUGAUGGUUUUAUCAUAAAGCCAUUUAGAUAUUUUUACUUAAACUUGUAACUUUUUUUGUAGCUGUAUUUAAUUAUAAUUUUCCGUAAAUGUUGCUCUCAAGAAAGUAAUGGUGAUAUUUGAUUCUUUGAGCUCAUUUGAUUAUGAUCUUUCAAAUACAGGUUGGACUGUGCCAUGUAUCAGAGAUUUCUGAUAAGCAUAUUGAUAACAUUGAAGCAAAGUUCGGAGCUGGAGAGAAAGUAAAUGCAAUAGUAUUGAAGGUAAUUUUUGUGCAAGGUGUUGGAUACUUUACUGCUUUAUACCAGAAGAAAAUUAUACGCUGCUUCUAGCUAUAUCUAAGUGUGAAGGAUUGUGUCACCUUUCUUGUAUAGCUUAAGUGCAUCUGCACGAGGCCCUUGCUAAAACUUGAUUCUAAUGGAAAUGGGUGCAAGUGUAUUGAAUAUCUAUGGAAAACAAUGAAAGUAGUUAUAUUUUGGUAUAUUUUCAAGGUCCCUUUUUAACAUUUUAGUAAUGUGUUAAAAUUUAUUAUCCCAAUUCCCAAGAUUGUGUAAAAUAACUUAUCUCUUUAAUAUAUCAUUAUCUUGAAUUCUUAAUUGUCUUGCAAAAUUACUUACAUUUUCCUAAUAUAUUAACAGGUAGAUGAAGAAAGACACGGGAUUUCUUUGGGAAUGAAGGAUUCAUAUAUGAGGGGCAAAACUGUGCUCCAAAUACCUUCAGAUGAAGGCUCCGAUGAACCUAUUGCAGAUGGAAUGAAAUCUAUAUCUUCUACAAGUAGACCCUCAAAUAUGGAUAUUGAUUCCGAAACUGAUCAAUUCCCAAUUCUUUCACAAGCUCAAAUAAGGCGACUCAAAUUUAUGUUCCAGUUAUAACAUUAAUAUGUUUUCUUUUGUUUCCUUGAAGUCAUUACGUAUAAACUUGAUAACUGAUAACAUCCCUUUAGUGAUUAUAUCAUUUAAACUCUAUUUGAUAAGCUCUUAUGCAGGUUUGAAUUACUGGAGUCCCUUUUGCUGGAGCCCAUGACAAUGAAAUUAAGCAUAAAUGAGAUUUAAUCAUAUAAUUAAGCAUACUUAAGCAUAUUUGUUAUUUGGCAUAUUCAUUUAUGACAUGACAAUACUCAUUAAACAUGUUGGGCAUGACAUGAAUACUCAGUGUUGCAUAAUAAGCAUUGUCAUAUCAUAAAUGAAUAUAUCAUAAAAGAAAUCAGUUUAGUAAAUGGUUAUUUGACUUAUUUCAAUGAGUUCGGGUAAUUGAAGUGAAGCCCCCAUGAUCAAAGAUUUUAGAGAGGUGUUAGGGUUAUUGAAUUAGAUUAAUUGCCUAAUGAUUCCUACUAAACUAAUGGUAAAUUACUCUUUCUUAGAAUUUGAGAAUUCCCAGCCUUAAGUUACUCUUCCUUAGACUUUGAUCAGUUGUAACUAACGUGAGCAAAAAAUAAUGGUAAAUAUUGGACUUUAAAUCCUCUAAAAAAAAGAUUGAGCAAAAAAUAUUGAUAAAGAUUGGACUUUAAAUCCUUUUAAAAAAAAGAUUAAUAACAAACAUGAGCAAAAAAUAUUUAAAGAUUACUAAAAUGUCCACAAAGACAAUUCUUGAUUUUGAACAACCACAUGAUUUUUCACUCACAUGCUUUGAAUAAAAGACUUCGCCUUACAAGAUAAUGCACGUUUUAUUUUUCAAUUUAUCAAAGAGAUCAAAGCCCAAUUUUAUUCCUUCUCCGUCGUUAGAAUUAGCCAUCAAAAGCAUAGAAUAAACAUAUUUAGCUUCAUGAUGACCCUCUAAUAAAGCCUUUUUCAGAUUCUCAAAAUCCAAAUUCACCAUCAAAAUACAAAAUUAUUGCACCAUUCCUUCAUGAUAAAGAAUCUCCAAAUUACCAUUUUCCCUACGUAUCAAAAACGUGGUUUCCUUUUCAUCGGUGAACCAUGAAUGUGGAAUCAAAGGAAACUUAUAUAGUGACGCAUGUUGAUAAACGUAAAGAUCUGCUAAAAUGUUAAGAAAAUCUUUGCAACUCAAUUUGAUUUUGCAUAAAUCAACCAUUGAAUUUGUUGAAACUUUUCCCAGAAUAUCAACCAAUAACUUCAUUUGGAAGAGCCUAUACAAGGUUUGUGGGUGUCUCGUUGAUUUCUUUCUUGGCUCCUAAUAAAGCCAUGAGAAUAAAACUUAUUUUUUUGUUUUUCUUUAAAUAAGUUUAUUAAAUUAGAUAUUGGUAAUGAACAAAUGUUGUGACAACUUAUUCUUCUUUAAGUUUGAAUAGAAAAAUGAAAUUUAGAGAAACAAGGAUUACGAUAUAACCUUGAAUAACUAGUUCAAUCGGACUUUGGCAUUGCAAGUACAAGGAUCGUCUGAUUUAUCUUCUUGAUAUAACAAGUGGGAGUAUUCAACUAAUACUUGCAAUUUAAGUUCAACUAUUUUUUGAAGCAGUCAUUGGUUAAAAUGUAAUAACCGGCAGUGUCACCAACGACAUUACAUCUGCGCGCCAAUAUAAUUCUACAUAAUCUUCCAGUAACCAUCUCUUUCAUGUAUAUAUAAGACCUAAAGAGAGAAAAAGGGAUAAUAAUUUUCAGAUUACAAGCAUAUAGGGACAUCAGUGAUUGAAAAAAACAGAAAAGUAAAGUAGAAUAACAGUAGCAACCCAAAACACUGAUAGAAUCUCAAAACAGUCACAAACACAUUAAAGACUAAUAGGAACACAUGAACCCUUCACUAAAAUGUACAAAAAGCGAUGUUAGGAUUAAGGAGGUGCUUGUGUAUGUUGUAUGCAAACUAAUAAAAUAGUAUUAUACAUAAGUUUCACUUUUUCUUUUUUGAAUUUAAAGUAUUAAUCCGCUUUGUAAUGCUUUGAUAUUCAUAUAUAUGUUUAAAAGGCUUAUUUAUUUUAUUUUGAAAAGUAUGCCUUAGUGACUGAAUCAGGAACUAAUUUAUUUAAAUCGGUCGUUAAAACAAGUCUCUGCAUUAGUCGCUAACGCUUGUCUCUAGUUCAGUAUCUGAAUUCAGUUGUUAAUUUGAUCACUAACGGUUGUAAAUUGUUGUUUUUCAGGUUCAGAAGCGUACCUUUUUAAUAAAGUCGAAAUCACCACCUAAGAUAUCACCAUGUUGAGUCUUCUUGAAGUCCUACCGGGUUGAGUCACGACAGGUCGCUUUCUUUAAGACAAAUCACGGCACUACCCGAAAUUGUGCAAGGUAGACUAACAACCGUGUACCUCCAGGAUAAAACAGCCUAGUUCACCUGUUUGAUUAAAUACUGCACCAUAUAUGAUCGUUCGAGAAAUAACACCCUCUAAUAUGUUACUAAGACCACUCUUUAACACCGAAACCAAUAUGAUAUUGUUACCAUUCUAUUAUGGUAUUGAGACCACUCAAAUAUGGUGUUACCACCAUUCUAAUUUUAACUUCUACAACUAUGGUACUAUGACCACUCAUAUAUGAUAUUGCUACCAUUCCAACAUCCAACUUCUCCAAGAACUGAAGAAGAAUAUAUAUUUAAUUAGGCUGCAUAGCUCAAAGGCUAUUAGGCUGCAUGGCUGUUACACAUAGCUCAAAGGCUUCGGCAAUCUAUUAGGCUGCAUGGCUGGAAUGAAGCUAAAACUCUGCAGCAUCACCAGGCUUAAUCUGAAGCAGUGAAGCUCACUUUUUAAACACCUUAGGGUGCAUGGCUUGAACGAAGCUAAAACUAGCAUCACCGAAGCUAAAGAACAAAAAUCAGUGCACCAUAAUACUAUAGAACCCCAAAAUUUUGCAGCAUCACAGAAGCGCACUAAGAGGAAUCGAUGUACCAACCACAACAUAGCAUAAUCGGAACAGAAAUACUUGCUAUCAAAACAUGAAAAUACUAAUAUGAACAAAUGUUGUGACAACUUAUUCUUCUUUAAGUUUGAAUAGAAAAAUGAAAUUUAGAGAAACAGGGAUUACAAUAUAAUCUUGAAUAACUAGUUCAAUCAGACUUUGGCAUUGCAAGUACAAGGAUUGUCUGAUUCAUCUUCUUGAUAUAACAAGUGGGAGUAUUCAACUAAUACUUGCAAUUUAAGUUCAACUAUUUUUUGAAGCAGUCAUUGGUUAAAAUGUAAUAACCGGCAGUGUCACCAACGACAUUAUAUCUGCGCCAAUAUAUUUCUACAUUGUCAUCCAGUAACUAUCUAUUUCAUGUAUAUACAAGACCCAAAGAGAAAAAAAGGCAUAAUAAUUUUCAGAUUACAAGCAUAUAGGACAUCAGUGACUGAAAAAACCAGAUAAGUAGAACAACAGUAGCAACCCAAAAAUAGAACACUAGACCCCAACACUGAUAGAAUCUCAAAACAGUCACAAACACAUAAAAGACAUGAAAAGGAACACAUGAAACCUUCACUAAAAUGUACUCCCAAUACCAGAAACAACAGCAGCCACUAAAACGCAAUCAUAUUUGUACAAAAAGCGAUGUUAAUUGGGAUUAAGGAGGUGCUUGUGUAUGUUUUAUACAAACUAAUAAAAUAGUAUUGUACAUAAGUUUUACUUUUGUUUUUCAUGCAAUGUGAAUACUUGAAUUUUAAUUAUUAAUUCACUUUGUAAUGCUUGAUGUUUAUAUAUAUGUUUAAACGGCAACUUUUGUUUUUUUUAAAAUGUAUGCCCUUAGUGACCGAAUCAGGAACUAAAUAUUUAAAUCGGUCGUUAAAACAAGUCUCUAUAUUAGUCGCUAAUGUUUGUCUCUAGUUCGGUAUCUAAAUUCAGUUGUUAAUUUGGUCACUAACAUUCGUCACUAUUUCUGUCACUAAUGGUUGGUCGCUGAGUCCGUCACUAACAGCCAGCGAAUAACCGAUUCCCAAAUAAUAAAGAUCUCCAAUCCGGUUGCUAAAUAGAAUAUCAACUGAUUUUAAUGCUAUAGAGACCGAAAGUUUCGGUCGGUAAAGGCGAGAUUUCUAGUAGUGAAGGUUCAACUAUAUAUUCUCUUUGCAAUUAAUUUUAGGAAGACUUCCGAUCAUUGGUAAUGUAUAAUUAGAAAGGGUUUGUUAUUGGAUGGAGCGAGCUCGAAUUUUGUAUGGUGCCCGAGGGAACCCUAAUUUCAGGAUAACUUAUUUUGUAAAUAUAGUUUUCCCAAAAAUGUGUGGUAUUUGACUUUUAAGUUGAUCGAAAUGGGGUGUGAUUUUUCACAAGAGUGUACUCUAUCUCCUAUAGUAUUAAUUUCUCAUCCUCAUUGUUGAAAAAUGCCUUCAAAUUUGUUUUCUGAGCAUUCUGCCAUUUUGCGCCCAGACGCAUGAAACUUGAUAGAGGCAUGCUUGGGGCUGUUGUUUUGCGCCCAUGCAUAGUUUGUUUGUGCCCAUGCACAAAUCUGCGGCCAUGUCUAUAAAAAUUCAGUUUUUGCACAGUUUUAAGUGUGAAAGAUGUGAAUCUUCGGGAACCAAAAGAGGAGGCUUUUGCGAAAGGGUUUGUAACUUUUGAGGAGGGAUUCAUGGGGUGGAAACACACGGGAAACACAUGAGAGGUGAGAUUAAGACACGCUAGGGUUUACUAAAAAAGGAGAUCCGUAGGAAAUAAUAGGCUAAGGAUCGAUUCCUUUUGAGGAUAGAAACUAGGGUUGGUAAACAAUUGUAAACCCCUUAAAUAUACAAAUCAUUGAGUCCAAUGAUGACGGGAAGAAGAUUCGGGAAAAUGGUAGAAUUAGGUUUGAAGAAUGAUUUUUGUAAUUCCUUUUGAAAAUAUUUAUGUAAACAAUAUAGUGUUUUGUUCCUCUUCUCUAAUACAUUUUAUAUUGUUGUUUUUUAAUUCUAUUGUGGUCUUGCUUUACAUUGUUGUUAGAUUUGUUGUUUUCACUUGCAAUUAUUUUGGUUAUUGGUUGUCACUGAUCUUUGCUCCACACAUCAAAGUUUAUUGGUUUCAGUUUUCACCAAAUUCACAACACUCUUGGUGGAAAAAACACCAAAAAGGGUUUAUCCUUGGCACACUACAAUUUAGAAGAUUUGAGAGGCUCGAAUUGAGAUUAUUUUUUCCUUGAAAAAUAUGGAAGUGGAAAAGACCUUGGAAGCCAUCAAAUAUUCUUUUGGGAGGAGGUGGUUUCUUGCAAGGAAAAAAGGGAGACCUUAUUUAUAUUUUGAAUGGUUUUCAAACCUCCUCACUUAUCUUAAUUGUUGAUUGGGGUUUGUUUUUUCGCGGAUCGAAUAUCCUAGUGCUUUUCCCAAAUUGUGUGUUAAAUAUUCGUUGCCCUUCUCUACUAUUUCUAAUAAAAUUUUGAUAUUCACAAAAUUUAAUAAUAAUAAUAAUAAUAAUAAUCCCUUCAAAAUAAUACUAAUACAUUGGAUUUGCCUUUUGUUAUUUUUUCACAUAAACCCACGUCACACACUAGUGAUUCCCAACUCCUAUAUAUAUACACCUAUCUUUCCCACACUGGAUUACGAACUACAAAAAAACCUCAUCCAAUCCUUCUACAAUCAUGUAGCUUAAAGCUGCUAUGAAAGUUUGGUUUAACUACUCUUAUUUUCCUUCAUUUCAUUACACCAGAUCUAAGUAUUCCCACAAAUCACUUAUCUGCUUGAAUCGAUGAGCCAUGCAACAUCAAUGCAUCUGUUAGAAAUCUGAUGUUGCAUAUAUCAUUGAGAUCUACAAUGGGCCUUACUGGAUCCAUCAGAAAUUUUGUUAUUAUUUCAACAAGCAAGUGUGAUUUUUUUGGAUUAAUUAUGUUACAAGGUGUCAAGGUCUAUGUCUUAACGGUGAACGAUUCUUUGAUUAUCAAAGAAAUAAAAUUCUAUGAUUUAAGUCUUAACUUUUAUGGAUUUGAAUUCAACGGUAAUUUUGUAAAAAAAUUAUAGAUAAAAUGAGAGAGAAAACAAUACAGCGAGAUAGAUGCAAGAUUACACUUUUAUAUGAGUUUUGUUUUAUGUUAGGUCGGUAGAUAACUAACCUGACAUUUAUUUUUUAAAAUAGCGAUUUAUAGUCUAAAUUAUGUAAGUUUCAUGCUUAAUCUCUUAUCUAAUUUUAUAUUUUAAUCUAGUCUCUCUCUCUUUUUUUUUUUUUUUUUUUUCAGUCCAAAGAGCAUGUUUAUGAAGUGGGUGAGUUAAUGCCAUGUGUUAGAUUGAAGUGAUUGAUAAUAUUGUUUGAGAAAAUUAAUUUUGAUUGUGAAUUGAUUUGUGCCUUCAAAAAUAAAUUGGUAUUGAAUCGGUUCAAAGAAUUGUUAAAUCUAUUUAACUUUUCUGAAAUUAUAUGGGCUGAUAUGGUUUUUCAUUAAUUGUGUUGGAAUUUAAACUAUGGAUAAGGUUUGGUUACUGAAUUGGUUUAGGUUAACCACAUAUUUUGAACACCUCUAAUUCUUAGCAACACCACCCUUUAACCCCAUAUGCGGUAGUUUCGAAAGUCACACUUGGUAUGUAUGUCUCCUUCUAGGGCUUUUUAGAUUGUGAACAAGGUGAUUAGAAGAACAAUAUUGACUUUUGGUGGUGAGAUCUGAUAGAAGGAUCACAAAAUAGGAACCCAAAUGGAUUUGAUGGUCGCCGCUACCUACGGUGGUUUCUGCCUAUGCUAUCGGUGGUUGUUCUUCAUGUUCGGUGGUAAUGUUCCAUUAUUGGUGUCGUCAAAAUUUGUUCUCUACGGUUUCACAUUUAUGGGUUUCUGUUUAACUCAUUCCAAUUAGUUUUGUCAUCGACACUGCCUUGAUACGGCAGUGGUUGAUUGUUAUGUGCAUAUUGAUUGUUUUCUAAAAGAGCAAUCAUAUUUGUACAUUCAUUUAAUGAUAACUUUGGUGGUGACAACUUUGUUUUCCUCUCUUUUGAUUGGUUAAAAACAAUGAAAAGAGAAAAAGGAAGAGAGAGGAUAAUAACAUCAUGUGAGUAUGAAAUGGUUGUACAAAUAUCAUUUCUCUUUCUAAAAUAUAGGCUAGUCUUUGAUCUGGGAUCAGCUUUCAUGACUUUUGUCUUGCUGUUUAUUCUGAAAUUCUCCUUUGGGUUCGAUUUCGAAUUGACUCUACUUGCUCGGGUUUUGUUGCAUCGACUCUGAUUUAUGUCUCUAGGUUUGUUUGCGUUCUUUUAAGUUCUACGUGAUGUUGCCUUCAUCUGGUUAUAUAGUUUAUGAAUCAAACGAGUCGAACUAUACAUAAUUCAAGUUUAACUCAUAUAGUUCGUGAACCAACCAAUCAAUUAUCAAAUCAAGUCUCCGACUAUUUUCGAGUUAGUUCAGUUCAUUUGCGGUCCUAGUCAAGAGACACAACGCUCAUGGGUCAUAGCAUGACGCAUAUCACUAAAGUAAAAAGCCCUAAAUCUCUUGUCAAGGGAGACGUGCGCGUGGAGCAAGGCGAGGUGCACACAUCUGGGCAAUCAUAGAAUGUCAACACAUUAAUGAACACAUCAUGUGGCGCGCAUGUGCAAACGAGAAAAGUGUCUAUUAAGCCCUAAUUUAAUUCAAAAGCGAGGAUCCGAAUUUCGAAGGAUCUGAAGAAAUAAAUGCGAACUAGUGAUCCUGAAGUGGCGUUUUUCAACCAUUGGAAACAAGAUUGAAGAGUGGUGUCACUAUCUUUGCAUGUAUCAUUCUUUUAUCUUUUGAUUAUGUUAUUGACCAUUAUCAUGUGUAACUAAACUCUUUAGAUUAUGAUUGAAUGAUGAACUUUUAUCGAAUUGUUUGAAUCACGCAAUCUAUGAAGUCAUUUUUCAAUGCAAUAUGAAUUAUGUUUGUUCAGUAUAUCUUGAUCUUAUUGUUUUUGAUUGUUUGAUCGCUUGUUUAAUGAUUCUAGGUUAUAUAUAGAUAUUAUCAUUGGGUUUUGUAACCUAAUUUGGAUAUAUUGUUUUCUAAAAGUAAUUGGCUCUGACAUAGAUAUAGCCGUAAUAAAUUGAUGAUAUGAUAGGAAGAGUUAGAUAUAGAUAAAAUACGGUGUUGAAUGAUUGUAGAAAUAUAAAGGGUAUUUAAAUAUCAUUCUUACAUAUCACCUUUUUUCUCUCAUAACCACUCUCACAUACUCUCUUUAUUAGAUAUCUGGUUUUAAAUUAUGCACAAUCCCUCAUUAGAUGCAAUUGUCACCGUCUUUACCUAUACAAAUAUACAGAAUCCUUCCAUUGUCACCCAACUUAGUCCAAUCAUUCAAACUCUAUGUAACCAAACAUUUUCAUAAGCUGUGUUUAACUAAGGAUAUUUUGGUUUAAUUUCACCUUUACCUUAUCUGAUCCUACAUUCCACUUAUCUUGUCCUUCAGUUUUUUCAUCUACCAAAUUUUCUUUUAGUUAUGUUGAUUUCAUUCUGAAUCAACUAACAAAUAUCUAAUUCCCACCAUAGAUUGACGAGCCAGGAAGAUUUAUUGCUACAAAAAUAGUAAGGUUGUUUUUGUAUUUGUAUUUCUUCUUCACCUUUUAAAAUAUUUGUUCAAUCGCUCAUGGAAAAUACUCCCUAUCUCAAAAGUAGAAGUACAAUGGCAUUUAGCAAUAAGAGGUAUGGAAAAAGUGCAAGCAUACAUAAACAUGGGGAAAGAAUAAAUAGACAGAGGGAAUACUGCCCAAAUAUUAACAUUUUAGAAAUUGAUAAUAUGGAACUCAAUAUGUUGUUUUUAACAUGUAGUAAAUUUUGUUUGACACCACUUGCGGUAUUAGAAAUCCAAUUUUAUAAGAAUUUGUUCAUUUGUGAAACAGUUAUGCUAGUCAAAAACCAAGUGGUUGUCAUGAAAUGGUUAAUUAAGUUUUUAUUUAAGAACUUUUUCGAAAGAAUACCGGCUCAAAUCCGAACGGGAACAAUAAUUGUCAAACUUUACUUGCCUCUCACCCAAAUUCCAGAUUUGUAAGGCCCCUUUUCCCUAAAAACAAAGGGUGACCAAAAAAAAUUAGGCUAGUUGAAGGAGGAGCUUCUUAGGCAAGCCAGCUCAUUCAAUUUGAGUUAUAGUUGAAAUCCUCCAAUGUGUUAUUUCCUUGAUUAAUUAUGACAUUGAAUCAUAUGAUUAUUGUAUUUCUUAAUAUUUUGAUUUAUAUAAUAAAAGUUUGAAUCAAUGCAUCAUAAAAAAAUUCGAAUAGUUGAGAAGUUCAGUGUAAUAAUUAUAAUUUUAAUUGUUAUCAUAAAAUAUCAAAACAUGUUAUGAAUAACAACAACACCUAUUUUCUCAAAAUUUUGUAGUACUCAGUUAUAACUUAUUUCUGCAUUCAAGAACAAAACAUGUGAAACUUAAACCUCUACUUUGUUAAGGAGAAUGUUCACAUCAGGUGUCUCACAGUAACACAUGUGAAUAUCCUCACGAAACCAAUUAAACUUCAAGCUAACAUUCUCCUCUAUCAGAUAUAAACUUAAAAGUGUUGACUACUCGUCAACCUACAAGAUUUUGAGGGAGGAAUGAUGAGGCAAGUACCUAGUAGCUAAACUUCUAAGCUCAAAAUCAGAUGAAUUCAAAGCGCAUGAGAAGCUUUACAUUGUUGUAUUUAUCUCCUUCGCGGGAAUGUAAUGGAACUGCUCGAAUUCCGUUUCUUAGUUCCCACACAGGUAAGCAUGUUUGUCCACCAAAAUCAUCCUUCUCAGACAUGUCAUAUUCAUGAACUUCUAUGCGAAGCAGCGCCAGCUCCGGAACAGAAAGCGGGAAUUCGAAUACCUCAUUCCAAGAAGGCAACCAACUAUUAUCUGUUGACUUUGUUUUUUUCAUAACAGUAUCAAAAGGGACUCCAGCAAUUCCAACCUGCAUAAGAGUUUAUCAAUUAGAGUAAAAAUGAUAGAAAAACCGAAGAGAAGUUAUCACUUAUUAUAUUCAUAUCUAAUAGACUGCAAGGAAGAAUUAGAAAAAUAUAUGGAUGCUAUAACUGGAACAUAAUUGUUUGGAUAAAGCUUAAUUAAGUACUUAUAACAUAAGCUUUUAUCAUAUAUGUGCUUAUGCAUAAAUUAUUUCAAUAACAAAGUAAAAUUCCUUGCUUAAAAGCUGUUUUCGUAACCUAUCAUAGAGAGCUUAUGGAAUUAAGCUGAAAACAGCUUAUGGACAUGUCAUAAGUUGUUUCUAUAAGCUUUCACAAACACACUCACAAGUUCUUAUGUUAGUAGUUAAGUUCAAAUAAAAUAAUUCAUACAGGCCCAUAAAUCAUCUUAAAUCUUAGCAUACCCUUGCAUAGAAGUCUGGAGAUGAGAAUUGAUCAAAAUGUGUAUGCUUGAAAUCAUAAUACCAUCCUUCUCCCAUAUAUACAGUGACCUAAUCAAGAGUAAGAAAAGCAUGACCUAGUUAUAAUCAAGUCUAGAGACACUUGAAUGACGGACAUGUAACAUAGUCCUUGUAAAAGUCACUACUCAAAUCUCAAAGCCGUAAAGGCCUCACCUUCAAAGUAGUUUUCGAUGGCAAAUGAGCUUUAGGAUCGAAAACCUCAUUAUUGGGACCAGUUUGCAAUAGAAAAUCAGGUUUUUUAACAAAACCGCAUCCUCCAUUGGCUUUAAACAUUCCUUGCAUCAACCAAAGAGAUCUCCCAUAACCCUGCCAAAGUACCACCCACAGCAAAAAUAGUAUAUCAUAAGUAAAUAAUAUAUGUCUUAACAAUGUCUUGAUACAGCUGAAAGGAAGUAUUAAUCAAUUCUCACAUCCUCACCACAGAGAAAGUCAAGACAAAAACACGAAAUAAACAUUGAUUAUAAAUCAUGCUUAAAAAGUAUUGCCCCAAAUUUUCAAUUAGUAGCCGUGCUAGACCUCACAGGUUUCUUGUUAUAUAUUGAAGCUUGCUAAAAAAAUAAAAAAUACCUGCAUGUUAAAUGCAACCAUCUGAGCUCCAUGCAUCCAACCAAUUAAUGGAUUAUAAUUUGAUGAGGUAAUGCGUGUACCUUUCGGAUACACUCGCAAUAUAUUCUGCUGAGUGAACCUGUCAACAAUCAGAGGAUCAAUAACUCACAUUUCAUUUGCAAAUAAAGAACACAUCCUGCAAUGUGUUUGUUCCAAAGCUAAUUGAAUAUAAAUGCUUAAUAUUUGUUUCAAUUUUAAACGAAUGAAAAAACCGUUCGAUAUGUCAUCUAAGAAGACAGUUGGUGAAACCAUUGUCAAGGACAAAUAUUUAUCUCAUAUUUCUUUAAUCCGGUAACAAUAAAAGGAUUGAAUCCAGAGUCAAUGCAACAGGUAAAAUUAUACUACAUUUUCAUUACAAAGACUUGUAGAAAGUUCAAUAUCAUACUAAUACCUGACAAUUUCUUUUCCAUAUGUUUCAGCAGCCUUUUCGAGCUGUGACUCACUUAAACUUAGACGUCUCACUUUAUCAGGCUCCACUUUGAGACAUUCCACUAUUCCACCUUUAGGCUUCCCAGCAUGAAUAGCAAUUAAGCAUCUGUAGUCAUCUGAUGCAUUUUGGCGUGCCUUUUCCGCUUCAUCGGAAUCUUCCUCCUCCUUAAGAUCAUCUUCAUCGACACCACUGUUUUGCUAAAUAUAGAAAGCAAUAAAAAUGAACCAACCAAUCUCACAAAAAAAAUUAGAUGUCCUUGCAAUUUAUAUACAACAUUGAGCAAAUAUCAGACCUUGUAAUCAGCUAUAGUACCGCCUCUCAAACUAGGGACUUCUUUGCCCCAAGCUUCUUCAUCACCUAAAGGCUUUCCCUUCUGUGAUUCCUCCUUUUCCUUUUCUUCUUUAGCUUCAAGGAACUCCUUAGGCGGCUUGGUUGAUAUGAUAAUCCUUUUUUUAAGUGAAUCAGGUGAAGGAAAUUCCUUCAAGGUUUCUGAGGUAGGACAAAACAGUAUGUCUCCAAAUGUUUGAGUAACCAUCUAAAAUUUGAACAGGGCUAUCAACUGUCAGCUACUAUAAUUUGUUGUGUUCAACUAUUGAACAAAAACAACGUUUAACAAUAAAUCAUAGUAUCAAUUCCAACUAACUAACCUGAGCCACUUUGGCCUGAAGAUCAGGAGUAAGGUGGUCUUCUAAGGUUAUUACAACCGGAUAUUCAGAUGCAACGAAGGCAUACUCCUUAAUAGACAACAAACAUUUGAUAAGUGCCACAGGAGUCGUCAAUGUCCUGUAAGAUUGCAUCAUUUUGUUGUCAUUAGUAAAAUACAUGGAUUUAUCUUCAUCAAAUUGUUGGAGAUAUAAUUCAAACGGUAAACUUACAUUCCAUGAAGGACAUCAACAUCAUCCUUAGAGUCGUUAGGCCAUAUAUCCAAUUCAAUCACUCUAACACCUCUCUGAAGUGCUUCGAUGAUGGGGGCAUCACUGCAGUCACUACUAAGCUGAUUUCCAGUUAGAUAUGAAUUAUGACCAGUGAAUAUGUAAUAAUGUGACAAUGGUAAACUCAUAUCUUGGUGCACCUGUAAUCACACAAAGAAACAGCAUUAAGUAAACAAACAACAUUAUCUCACCAACAUAGUUCAUAAAAAUUACAAACAAUAUAAUUUCAAUAAUUCAACACUCAAGUGCAUGUUUGGAUCUGCAGUGAAAAAAAUUGAUUUUGAAUGAAUUGAUUUUAGUGUUUUUUCACUUCUAGAUGCCUUAUAAGUGCUUUUCAAGUGCCAAAAGCAACUCAACUCUAUAAAUUAUGUUUGGCAUUUUUCAAUAAAUCAAUUUUGGGGACUAAAAGCAAUUCUACUUGAACCUACUAUUUGUAGCCUUUGAAUCUAGAAUUGAUUCUAACACACAAAUUUAGAAUUCAACUCACUUGUACAUGAAUGCAUCCAAACACAAAUCACUUUAUCUACAACUCACUUUUAGUCGGAAUCAAUUUUAUGGAAUCAAUUCACUCAAAAUCAAUUCUUGCCAAAGCAGAACCAAAUAUACACUUAAAAGUGAGUUACAUUACAUGUAAAGUGGUUUAUGUUUGGAUACAAUAACGUAAUAGUGAGUUCGUACAUUAUACCCAAGAGCAAUGCAAACACGUCAAAAUCACUUUUACACCUCUUAAACCAAUUUUGUCUACUCGAAACGCAGAAACAAACAUAGGCAAAUGAAGUUUUUUUCAGUUAUAGAAAUUCAUGAAGAUGAUCCAAUAUAUAUUAUGAGUUACAAAUCUACCAUUUACAAAUGUAAUUUAAUAGCCAACAAGGUUAAUUAAUAUAAAAUUUAAUGAUUAAAAGCAAAUCAAUAACACCAAAAAGAAACUGAACAACUAUAAAUUCAACUAAAAUCAACCAAAAAAACACAAUCAAAUUACUAGAAGAAAAAAAAAGUAAAAGAAAAAAGGAUUACCUCAGUGGAAGGUAAAAGAGGAGGAUUAUUAUCACCAAAGAGAAACUUGAAGAAACUUUCAAGAUUAAGAUCUCUAUGAUCAAUGAUGGCUUGUGUUUCUUCUUCUGUGAUUUUCUCUUCUUUCUGCACCUCAAUCAGAAAGCUUCUGAGGUGAGAUGCUGUCAUGAUCCCGCCUUCAUCGGAGUAACGAUGAUAAAUCUCUUUUAUCUCCGGCGGUGCCUCCGAUACGCUGUGUUUUUUCGGUUUAGAAAACAUUUUUUGAUUUCUUUGUUUGUGUUUUUUCACACAGAAAAGAAACACUCUGUGUUGUGUGUGUUUUUAAGAUUUAAGAUAAGAAAAACUGAUUAACUAACUACCUAUAAGCACAGAAAAUUCUGAAGAAAUAAUGUUGUUGGGACCUGUUUGGGACCCACGUUGCAACCUAGCUACUUUCAAUUCAAUGAAAAUGUUGGACAUGCAUGGCACAUGGAAUCCUUGGAUUGAAUGAAGUAACAUUAUUGUUUGUAUUGCAUCUAGAAUUAGAUAUUUUAAAAUCCAAUGAAAUUACUAAGCCACUGAUAUACUUAUUGAAGCUACUAUCUGGAGAAAUGAUAUUUUGUACAAUUUUUGUGAUAACUUUCUCUCCCAUAUUUAUAUAUAGUUUGUUCAAAUAACACAAUUCUAUUAAUAUAUUUAAUGAUGAUUUGCAAUUUCAAGAAAUCAGAUACACUUAGGGUGUGUGUUCACAUGAGAAAGAUUAAUCCUUUUCCACCAUGGGAAAGUUGGAUUCAAUGAUUAGAUUAAGUGAAGAACAUAUUCUUAACAUGUUCUCUCAACACUAAAUUUUUCUUCACACUAUCUUCCAAUAAUUUAAAAAUUCUGAAAAUUAAUUUUCAGAAAUUAAAAAAAUAUAAAAAAAUUCAGAUAAUUUUUUGUUAAAUUCUUUAAUUCAUUUAUUGAAUGUUAGAAUUUUUUUUUGAAUAAAAAUAAAAUUUUGGAAACUAAGAUAAGUUUUUAUUUUUCUAAAAAGAAUAUAUUUUUUAAUUUCAUAAUAAAAUAAGAUAUUCUGAAAAAUAAAAUAAAAAUCCUAAAAAAUAUAUUUUGAAAUUAAAAUUUUUUAUUUUUCCAAGAAAAUAAAAUUCUGGAAAAUAAGGUUUUUGAAAUAAAAUUCUGGAAUUUUUUUUCAUUUUUUCAAAAAAAAAAAUUCUAACAUUCAAUAAAUGAAUUACAUAAUUUAAAAAAAAAUUAUCUGAAUUUUUUUCGAUUUUUUAAAUUGUUGGAAGAUAGUGUGAAGAAAAAUUUAGUGUUGAGAGAGCAUGGUAAGAAUAUGUUCUUCACUUAAUCUAAUCAUUGAAUCCAACUUUCCUAUGAUGGGAAAAGAUUAACCUUUCCCAUAUGAAAUGCCACCUACACUUAGAAUAUCAUUGGCACAUUCACAAUCAUGAUAUUUUAAGGUUCAUGAGUUCAAUUAAUAAAUUCGAUAAGAUCAACUCUCUCAAACACGUGGAAAUAUCUUUACAAAUACUUAAGAUAAUUAAAUCAUGGGAAAGUAUUAAAUUUUUGUAAGAAGCAUAGAAUAAUAAAUCUCUUCGGUGCCAAAAAUCAGAGGACCUAGAUAUUUUUGAAAUAAAGAUCCCGUCAACAUACUUUUCAAAAAAAAAAAGAAAAAAUUGAAAUAAAGUCAUGGGACCUAGAUCAGAAUUCUAGAUGCAGCUUCUAGUAACUUACGUGUCAACUGAUUUACACACACAAAGCCUCUUUUUACAAACCUACCUCACUCACUCCCACUAUAUAUAUAUCUACAGCCUCUCUUUCAUAAGUAGGGUAUGCAGCCCAAUUGUCCUCUCCUUCAACUUCUAUGUAACCAAAAUAUGCUCUUCAAAUUCCAUGAUCAUCAAACCCUCUUUUUGAGCCCCUGCUGAUUCUCUUUUCCAUCUACAUGCUUAGAUCGAUGAGCAAUUCAAUAAGUAGAUGUAGCUUGGGUGCAUCAUAUGUUGGAGAUCUGAUGCUACAAAGAUCGAUGAAGGUGACUUUUGUUUUUCCAUCAUCUCCUACAUGGUUUAAUGGUUCCAUCAAGAAUAAUUUUAUCAUUCUAUCAAGUGUAAUUUCUUUGAUUAACUAUGUCACAGAGUCUUUGUCUUGAUGGUGACAAAAAUUUAUUCAAAUCGAGUGUUGUUUCUUCUAGCAUACGGAUUUUGAAUUAUAUCCAAAACGACUUAUGAUGUUUCUGCCUGCCAAACUUAUGCGUAGCCUCAAGGUCGUACAUCCUUUUGAAAAAGUAGGUGGAUUGUUCCUCAUGAAUCUGUUUGGAGUUUAUCAGCUCUUUCAUGUUGAUUUCGUCUUCCUUAAAGAACAACGUUCGUCUAUGCCAUUAUUGUUUUGUAAUUUAACAAUUGUGAUUAUCUUGAUUAUUAAUGUAAUUUAUAAAUAUUUCAAUAUGUAUUCAUUUAUAUGAAUAAAAAGUGAAAGAUUUUGUAGUUUAAUACGAAUGUAUUAGAAAUUAGUAUAUUGUCCUCUUAUACCAACUUGUAAAAAGGUGAAGGUAUUCUAUUCUAUAUGUUAAAAAAAUAACUAUUUCAAACUCAUUUUUAUAAAGUUGUGAUUUUGACCCUCUAAUAAAAAAAAUAACAAUUUUGCUCUCUAUCUUUAAGAAAAUGUCUUUCUUUUGACUCUAUCUAUAUAAAAAAAAAAAAAAAAAAAAGGUUCUUUUAGCCCUUAUUUAAGAGAAAUAAGCUAUUUUUUCCUUUAUCUUUACAAAAUGUUGGGAUUUUAAACCUCCGUUUUGAGAUAGGUGGCGUCUUUUAAAGAAUUUUGUAAUAUUUUGUAAAGUUAUGGAAAAAGUUGUUAUUUUUUAUGAGACGGUCAAAAUCUCAACUUUUUAAAACUUAAGAGAUUAAAAAUAUAUUUAAGCCUUUUUUUUUUUUUUACAAUAACCAACUCAAACUUCUGAUUUUUUUUUUAAAACUUUUAUCAUGAUGUCUUUAUGGUAAAUUGAAAAAGUUAGAUUUCUAAUAUUAUGUUAUAUAACAAAACCCAUUCUCUCAAUAAAAUAAAAAAUCAAAUCUGUAUCCAUACCUAUUCAACAUAACAUAAAGUCCAUAAAUAAUGUUUAACAAAAGAUGAAUUGUACCAAAAUUCAAACCAAUCAAACAAUUUAUACCACUUAUGUGUAACUUGUCCUGCAAAACAUCGUAAUUACAUCUCUAAACACUUAAUUAAGUUCCUAAUAAUUUUAUCUUUUAUAUCGUAGAUGGUAAGCUGAGCUCAUGGAUAAACUAGUGCCACUGAAUUUUAAGAGGUGUUGCAGAAAAACAGAUGGUAGAAACUUUCUCAAGAUCUGGGACAAGGAUUCAGAGCAAUCCAUAAAGUUUGAUAAUCUAAUUGUAGGAAUGUUUCAGCCACCUCAAGACUUGUACAAUCUGCUACGGGAGCAAAAAGGUUGUACUUGGAGAGUCCAUAUAUGACACUCUAAAAUUCAAAAUACUUGCAUUAACACACACAUAUGAGGUUUGUUAGCUUAGAUCAACAAAACACAUGAAGAUCCAAGUUAGCAAAAAUGCACCUUUUCAUUUGGACCAAAAAAUCAAUAUCCACUAGUUUGAACCAAUUUAAAGUAAAGGAUAAUUUAGUAAUAUCCCUCAAGCUAAUUGGAAGGGAAGGAAGAUGAACAAGAGAAAAAAGAGGAGUAGUGAUAUAUGUACAACUCUUUGAUAAACUUCUAUGACAACUUUGAUUUUCUCUCAUUUGAUUGGUAAAAAAUAAUAGAGAGAAAAAGGAAGAGAGAGAAUAAGAAGAUAACGUGAGUAUGAGAGAGAAAAUUGUCAAAAAGUUGUUAGAAAAUGAUUGUACAAAUAUCAUUUCUCAAAAAAAGGGAUGAAGAAGAAGAAGAUCUUGUUUUUAAAUUUGAAAUUUUGAUAUUUAGGUUUUUUCAAUUUCGUCCUUAUGAACAUUUGCGUUUUUGAUUUUGGUCCCUCAAACUACCCACUUAUCAUUCUAUCAGUCCACGUAAGCCACAAACGACAUCUCAACCUUUGUCACAUCGGCCUUCGUUUGCCAGCACAUCGUUUUUUUAACAGAAGUUGACGUUAGGGACCAAAAUCAAAAAAUUAACAACUUACAGAUAUUAUUUUAGAACAAAAAAAAUACAAGAACGAAAACCAAAACACGCGAACUUACACAGACGAUUUACAUAUUUAAACCUAGAAAAUACUAAUUAACACAUUACAAAUUCACACUAGAAAAUACUAAUUAACACAUUACAAAUUCACACUCAAAUUGGUGUAUAUGAGUUACACAAGUCCCACAUAAUGCAAUGCAUAUUUAUUAAUAUCAAGACCACGUGCAUGAACAAAUGACACUGCUAUAUCACUUGGUACCUUUUAAAUUCGAACAAAUGUCAAUAGACAUGGUGCUAUGUUGGUAAUUUUUAAAAUAAUAGAAUCAUUUAGAAUAUAAAGUUGCAAUUCUUCACUAAGAGUUGUAACUCUUUAUGGAAAUCAUUCAUAUUAGUUAUGUACUUCUUUACUUAUACUUACAAUUCGGUUGCUUAUUUUAUAAAAUUGUCUUUUCCCUUCAAAACCAUGGUACGAAGUGGAUCAUAUUUUAUCUUGUGAACUCAGUUCAGUGUGUUUCGACCAUUUUAAACCAGAAAAUAAAAUAAAAGUAUUGAUUGGGUGUGCUUUUAUAACAACAACUUUUUGAAUUGGAUUAGAUUUUGAAUUCAUUUUUAAAGUCGAAUUGAUUCAGACUGAAUUUUAGAUACCUUUUCAAAGUCGAAUCAAACUGAACAACAAACAUAAAUAUUUGUGUUUUGAGGAUCAAAUUACAACAACGUAAUGUUACAUCAAUGUCACAUCAUUCAAUAUCAUUUUAAUCGUUGAUUUGAAAACUUAUAUCAUAUAAAUUAUGCAUGUAUAAAAUUUCAAAAAUAUAUAAUCUUUUGAUACGUUGUUGAUACUCAUCAAGAUAAAUGGUGUUCAAUAAAAACAUAUAAAUCAUAAUCUUGAUAGAUCUUAAUAGUAUAUCAAAUGAUUUUAUAUUUAUUUAGAAUUUUACAUUGAAAAAUCAAGGAAAUUUUAAUAAGAUAAGAGCAUAUAAAAUACUUUUAAAAAAAAAUAAAAAAAUUCGUGACAAGCCAAAAUUAUUAAUUUUUGAACUCAAAACUCUUAAAAAAAACUCAAUUUUUUUUCAUCUACACAAAAAUAUUCAAAGCCCAUAUAAGAACAGUAGAAUCUUGGGUUUGAUCUAUUACACAUAGGCAUUCUUUUAAUAAUUUUAUUUAAAAAAAUGAUUAGUGUUUGAUCAAACAUAUAUAAAAAGUUUUUUUUCAAAACACUAAAUCAUUUUAUUUAAAAAAAUUAUUUUAUUGCGUGUAUCAUUUUAUUUAAAAAAAUUAUUUUAUUGCGUGUAUGCCAAAUAUUUUUCAUUUAUGCUUGUGACCAUAAUCUCGAUUAAUUAUAAUACAUCAUAUAUAAUAUUUUUAUAUAAAAAAAUCACAUGUAUUAUUAUUAUUAUUUUGGUCAACUAUAUAUGACUCAUGCUUUUAAAAAAAGAUAACUAUGACUCUUUCAUUAAAAACGAAAAAGAUAACUGCAAAUCCAAGUUCAAGUCACACACUAGUCACUGCUCAAAAAAGAUAACUAUCUAGAUGAUUCCACUCGUAUACACUCACGUCACACACUACUAGUCAUUCUCACUCGCUCCCACUCCUAUAUAUACUCCUUAUUUUCUCUUUUUGAGAAAAUAUUCUUUACGUACCUUCAUAGCCCAAUCCACUCCUCUCCUUCAACUUUAAUGUAACUAAAAUUUUCUCCUUUAUUUCCAUGAUCUACACAACCCAGUAUUUUAACCCAUGUUGGAUCUCUUUCUGAUCCAUAUGCUUAAUUCGUUGAGCAAAUCAACAACAAGAUGCAACAUCUUUGCAUCAUAUGUUGGACAUCUAAUGUUACAAAGAUCGUUGAAGGUGGAUUUUGUUUAUUUGUCAUCUCCUACAUUCUUCGUCAUCAACUCGAUUGUAAUUUCUUUGAUUAACUAUGUCAUAAGAUUUAUGUCUUAUCGGUGACAUAUUUUUAUUUAUAGGAUCUCCAAAUUUGUUUGCUCGAUACAACACAAAUCUGCAGAGCAUUUUGAGAUGUUUUCAAAGUACUUUGAGAUGUUUUCAAAGCAUGUUGAGAUGUAUUAGAUUAUUUUAUGAUUUAAUAGUUGUGAAUUGACGGGUCUCCUAGCAUGUAGAGGUGUUUUCAAAGCAUGUUGAGAUGUAUUAGAUUAUUUUGUGAUUUAAUAGUCUUGAUUUGAUAGAUCAAGAUAAAUUAACAAUUGUGAUUUCUUUGACUAAUUAUGAUGUACUUUUUUACAUCCAUUUUUUGUAUUUAUUUAAUGACCACAUAUAAUAUGGGUUUAUUUUAUUUAUAAAUAACUCACUCAUAGAUUAUAAUAAUUAAUAAUGAAAUAAAUUUUUA
rnacentral:lncRNA from 1 species